rnacentral:lncRNA from 1 species
GGUUCGACUGACUUCUGCACACUUUGGUGUCAUCUCCUGUUGUGCUGGAAUUUGUACGUAGUUUUGUGGUUUGACUAAUUCAUGAUCCUUGUUGGAAUAUCCUUAAUGGUGGGAUCUGCACUAUCUCUGUCCUGUCGUGGUUUUCAUCAGAAUCAUCAAAAAGUUACCUUUAGGGAUACAUACUAAUAAACAAAUGUGUGGUACACAUCAUUUUAUUUAAGUUCCAAGCAAUCUUGAAGGUUGGGAAUCAAGGUUUAACUUUUACUUUAAAUGUAGAUAAUUAUUGGGAAUAUGAUGUUGAUUUAGAAAUUUCGUGAAGGAGCAGAAACUGGAAAUAGUUUUUGUAACGUACUUCCUGCUUCAGAAUAAAUGACAAAUAAUCCUGCACAGUGGUAUCUUUCAUUAAUCGUCCUCCUGUCUUUGAAAGUACAAAUCAAAGUACAAAUUUAUGUAUCGUUAUUGAAAUAAAAAGAAGAAAGACACAAACUCUAAAUUGAUACGGGCUGCUGUUACAGGAGGAGUGACUUCAAUGGAUGACUUCUUGAAAAAAUUCUUCCCCAAAGUGUACGAAAGGAAACACCACCAUUUGAAUGAAACAGAUUAUUGUAAAUAUGAUGAUCAGGUUCUCACUCUCUUUACUUCCUCCCUGUACUACGCUGCACUUAUUUCAACUUUUGGGGUGUCAUACGUGACCAGAAAUAAGGGCAGGAGGAUGAGCAUUAUGUGUGGGGCAGUCAGCUUCUUUGCUGGAGGACUUGUCAAUGCAGCAGCCGAGAACAUUGCGAUGCUGAUCAUUGGCCGAUGCCUGCUUGGUGUAGGCAUUGGGUUUGGGAAUCAGGUAAGCCAUUUGUCCUACACACCGAGUAAUUCGUGUGAAAAAAAAAUAAAGAAAGAUUGUCACAUAUGCUCGUUUUGUACCUGUUUCUGCAGGCGGUCCCUCUGUAUCUCUCAGAAAUGGCACCUGCUAAAAUCCGAGGAGCAGUUAACCAACUGUUUCAACUAACAACCUGCUUGGGAAUCCUUGUUGCCAACUUAAUAAAUUAUGGUGUCCAAAGCAUUCAUCCAUGGGGCUGGAGGUUAGCCCUCGGUUUAGCAAUGGUUCCUGCUGCUAUAAUGUUCGUUGGUGGACUUUUUGCUCCAGAGACCCCAAACAGUCUUGUUGAACAGGGUAAACUAGACGAAGCAAGAAAGAUCCUGGAGAAAGUGAGAGGGACACCUAACGUGGAUGCUGAAUUUGCUGACCUAUUAGAAGCAAGCGAAGCCGCACGAGCUAUAAAGAAUCCGUUCUCAAAUCUGUUAAAGAGGAAGAACCGCCCCCAGCUUAUAAUAGGAUCCCUUGGUAUUCCAGCGUUCCAACAGCUCACUGGCAAUAACUCCAUUCUUUUCUAUGCCCCUGUCAUAUUCCAGAGCUUAGGUUUUGGGUCCAAUGCCUCCCUUUACUCCUCUGUCAUUACAAAUGGUGCACUAGUUGUAGCUGCCUUGAUCUCUAUGGCUCUCGUUGACAAGUUUGGCAGGAGAAAAUUUUUCCUCGAAGCUGGUUGUGAAAUGAUAAUCACCAUGGUAUGCUGUCUUGCAAAGUGCUAACUACAUGAAUAUGACCUCUGGCUUAUGAAUAUAAUCUAACAGGUAGACGUUUUCUUCAUCUAAAAUACAUCACGCUAUUGAUUGAUAUGCAGGUUGCUGUUGGUGUUACUCUGGCUUUGAAAUUUGGAAAGGGUGAGGAGCUCUCCAAAGGAAUUAGUGCUUUCCUUGUCAUUAUGAUCUUCGUGUUCGUUCUGGCUUAUGGAAGGUCCUGGGGUCCUCUGGGUUGGUUAGUUCCAAGUGAGAUCUUUCCCCUGGAGACGAGGUCGGCUGGCCAAAGUAUUGUCGUUAGCGUGAAUAUGCUCUUCACGGCUCUUGUUGCUCAGUUUUUCCUGAAAGCUCUCUGCGGACUUAAAUUCGGUAUCUUUUUGCUGUUUGCUGGUCUAAUAAUUUUCAUGAGCUGCUUUGUAUACUUCCUCUUGCCCGAGACCAAGCAAGUCCCAAUAGAGGAGAUCUAUUUGCUGUGGCAAAGCCACUGGUUUUGGAAGAGGUACUGCGCGCCUGAUGCCAAUGAAGAUGGACAGGAGAUACAAAAACCCAGAAAACCCAAUAAUGAAACAGCCUAGAGAAUAGGUCUGAGGGAGCAACUUUCUUUCUGUGCCUAAUUAUUUUGCGUCCUGACAUACCUAGGGCACAUUUUCUUUUGCUUUUGUGUUUAUGGGUCUGUGCUUUUUCCUUGUUUGGAUAAUUUUACUUCAAGAAUGGGGAAGUACAAGUCAUAAUCUGAUAAGCAGAUUUACAUGUUAUAGUGUUCAUGUCAUUGCUUAAAACAGUAGCAUAUCAUGAUGUCAAUUGAGCUAAAAUUGCAGAAAAUUGACCACCUAUAUCUCCUUUCUAACUUUUAAGUUUCGAAUGCAUAUUCCUUCUUAAUAUGUAUUGAUGAGAGGAGGGGUCAGUUCUCAAUGGUAGAUCAUAACUCUUAUAUCCCUCCAUUGAAUUAAAAGAAAAAAAAACUAAAAGAUGCAUGUGCAUGGAUCGUCUAACUUCCUGUCGUAAAGGGAAGUAGCUUGAUCUAAAGCGGAUCAUCUAACUUCCUGUUGUAAAGCGCAUACAUGGAUGCAUGGUACGAGCCCAAAACAACGCUGUUUAACAAAUUGUGCUCCCACUGAGCACGAAAUCCUAGAAGUUAACGUCACAACCUCCAGAUAGUUUGCCGGAGAAGAUCGAAGAAAAGAGUUUGAAUGAAUAAAGGUGGUCAAGAAGGAUUCUCUCUGGUUCAUAAUUGAGGUGGCUCAAGAUGGAAGUUACAAGUAGAACCGCAGGACCAACUAACAGCCAAAACAUAGAAGACCAAACUGAGUGAUAAAAGUAGCGCAACUGAAAGCCAAGCAUGUUUGAUUCAUUGACCAAGGUGGAGAACAGGAAAAAUGACAGUGAAAGAUGCCGAGAUUGCCUUAAUAUAAAGCACACUAUACAAAGUUGAUCUGUUAAUUUAUUGGUUCGACCAUCUUCUGAAUCCCUAAUUCACUUGCUAUUUGAACAUACAACCUCUCACCGCUUCCUCCAUCGGAAAAAUAAAUGAAGAACAAAUAAAGUUACAUAACAAUACUAAAAGAACUCAUUAAGCUAGCAAUUUCGCUAGUUCAUCUACUCUUAGGCUUCCCGGUUGAUUUACAUUUAGAUAAUCUUCCCUAAUGUCCUUCAUGCUUCGACCUUUAGAAGUCUUUUUCCCACUUCCUCUCUUACUCGAAAGAGUAACUUCUUUCUCUGGCACUUUGAGAGCCUCUUUCACCUCCAAAUCAUCACUUUGUGGCUUAUCACAUUCUGGAACCACCAACUGCUUACGUCGAUGGCUAAAAACAGGCCCAGGUGGAGCAGACUUAGCAAGAGCGACGGCUCUUUCAUAAACAAUGUCUGCAUCCAAGCUAGAAUCCUCCAACAUAACUGCAAGCCCACUUUCAACAGCCUGCCUGAGGAGGAGAAGAACUUCCUCAGCUGAAGGUGUAGUUGCACUUGAAAGUUCACUGAUACCCUUUCUAUCUUCAGAUACACCUUCCAACUUGCUUGAAGUAAAAGGAGCCGUGAAUGGAGGUUCUGAAUGGUUGUCAUUACUGAAAGUGCUUCCCAGCCUUGUUUCAGGCCCUGAAGACACGGUUAACAUGGCAUUGUGGUAAGAGUUUGAACCAUCCCAUUCUUCUUCACUUCUAUCAAAAUCCACCAAAACAUCUGAACCGACGGCGCACUGAACAUCCGGAGGACUUUCACUCUCAUACGUUUCACAUGCAGAAGUGGCUAAAGCUGUAAGAUCACCAACCACCUCUUCUCCAUAUUCACUGCUUCCAUCUGAUUCCACCUCUUCAAAAUUCCAAGAACCACUGCUUGUGUUAAGAUCUUUAAUAGUUGUAUUCAUUUUUGUUGUGUUUGAAACAGAUGAUGCUGAAGCUGUUAAUGACUCGGCUUCUCCUUCUAAAAUUGUUCCAACAAAGGUCGUAGCAUCAGAUUCAGUUUCCGUCAUUCCUUCUGCAUCACUUCUUAGCUCUGGCAGGGAUGACUUCCAGUCCUGUCCCCUCCACAUGAGGAUGUGCUCAUUCUCAAAAGAUAUUAACACGCAUGGGACAAGAUCCUGCACUUAAAAGAUUUAAGGAUUGCUCAGAUUUUUCUGUUCCUCAAAGCUCUAGAUGUUAAGCAUCCAUAAUUAAAAGACCAGACCUUGAGUUUGGCACCUAUUUUACGGUAAUCACUCCCAUUCACACCUUCGCAAUUGAUUCGCACCAGUUCACAUGCUUCAAAUGCCUCCCUGACAUUCUUAACAAGGUCACAGUAGACCCCAUUUUUAGCUGUAAUAAACACAAAACUAUAAUCAGCUAAUCCCUAGGAAAAAAUGGUCGACUUUGCUCUGUCACUUCACCUAUAGACAGUAUAGACAAUCAAAAUAAAGAUAAACAUACCAAGCUUGCAUAUUGGCACAAGAUUGCGCCCCUUCUUCCGCAUUUCUGUGGCUUCUUCUAAAGUCAAACCCUCAGGGGCUCGUUUGACCAACCUUGGGUAUACAGGAGUAACAGGUUUCCACAACAUAAGAGGAAAACGCGGCCGAGUCUUAUAAUUAUAGUUUCUACCACGGAAUAGGUAUAUCACUCCCCCUCUACUAUAUAUGACUUGUCCACCUGUUUUCUCCUGUUGGAUGAUGAACCGCAAAAGGAUGUUAUGCCUCUCCAUGAUGUUGCAAUUAGACAAGGCAAACAUUAUGCAGCUAAAACAUGCACAACCUAAGGGGGGAUUAAAAAAAAAAGCAGAAUUUUGAUCCUUCAAUUCUCUGUAUUCUCCUUCCACCAGUCAUCUACUAGUAGAGACCAGGGCAAAUACUAGGCAACUAUGACAGGACAAGAACGACAUCAUCAUGCUUGAUAACAGGAAUAUCAAGGAUCAUUCUUGAAAAUUCAAUCAAAUAGUGGACUAAAUAUUUAACCUUCCAAUUACAUGCACAAUUUUAACAUCUACUUGGUUUUAAACAAUUUAAGGAGGGAAUCAACCCAAGUUCCUUGUUAAGCAAAAAUCAAGCAACUAUAAACUCCACUAUUUUAUAGUUUGGGUUCUUAAAUGACAGCCCAGACACAGCUAUUCACCAAGAUGACUCUUAGCAAAAGAAAAAAAAGAACAGCUACACAUCACAUGGAGGGGAAUAGGUAUACUUUCUAUAAAAUCAGCAGAGUAAUUCUUAUAGCACAUGGUUUAGCUCUAAUGAAAAGUUAAGAGCUUCAUGUACAUUAAACAAGGCGGAACACAAUUCCUUAACAUUGCUCAUACUAUACUAAAUACCAACAGGAAGAGUUGCAUAAGGCAAAACUAUUCAAGUAUGAAGCAAGUAUCAUAUUAACAAAAGGAAGAUUAAAUGCAAUCAAAGAAAAGACAAAAUAAGAUAACUUUUAUGUAUGUGUAUUUCCCAAUAAACGUCGAACCUCUAACUGUUGGCGAACAUUUUCCAUGUCUACGGUACACACACCCUUGCAUUUUAUCUUGCACACCCUUCUUCGCUUCCAGUGAGCAUGUAUGUUAUCCAACAUGUUGUGCGUAAAACCAUCUCUUCCUAAAAACCAAAGGCACUGGCAUGUUAACAAAAAGGUCACACCCAUAGUAAGAAGAAAUCCGAUUUCAUUCACUGCUUGGCUAAAUUCAAGACACGCAGCAGUUUUCCUCGAAACCAGAAAUAGAAAAUUUCUUGUUCAGUUAAACAUCAUUACAGUUCCAGAAAAUCUGGUUCACCACAAAUCAAAAUUUCACCAAUCAAUAACUAAACGCAGAUAAUGAAAAUCCUGUUUGGAUUGUGGUUUAUUUGUCAAAAUAUAUUUGCUUACAUCAUCAUUACAAUUUUCAACACACCUUUUUAUCUUUUCAAUUACUUUUUUAUUUCACGUACAUCGCAUCACAAAAAAAAAUUGCCGCGGUGAAAAUAUCUCUAAUAAUUCACAAUCCAAACAAACCCGAAAACUUGAAUACAGAAUGAUCAUAAUCUCAUAACCUUAAUAUCAAAAAACAAGGUUGGCAUUGAUUAUUACCCAUAUUCAGCUGGCGCUUCCAUUUCUUGCAGCUUUCAACAAGCGCUUUAAUCUCCUCUUUGGUCAAGGGCUCCCCCAAUAUCUGCUCUCUAGACUUCACAUACAUUGGCCCAGUUCCCGGCAAAAAUGGGCCCGGUGCCUGGACGGGCUUCACACCCUUUUUAUGAGGUGGAGGGAGCUGAAAAGAAUCAAAUUCCGGCAGUUUCUUUUUACUCGGCGGCAGCGGCUUCCGCCCCGUCCACGGCCUCCCCAUAGUACCUGGCUCAAAUGGCGCCACAAGCGGCUCCCUGAUCCCCACCGGCUUCACCUUGGGCGUCUCGGUAUAACUAUACUGAUAAAGAAAUGGAGCUUCAGGAAAUUCAUAUGACAACCCUUUUUCAUCAAUUUUGACGUUGGGAGCAAAUUUUUCUUGUUCUUCAGCUUUAGUACUUUCGUCAGUCGUUCGGCUAGGAUUAAUUCUUUUAACUGGUAUUUUUUUGUGUUUAAGGACGGGUUUAAAUGCGGGGUGAUCAAAGGGAAGUCUAGGUUUUUGUGGGUUUUUGGAGUAUUUCGACUUUUUGCCCGGAAUUGAAGGGUGGGAAGGAGAGGAAGGGGUGCCGGUGGAUUUAAAGGUAGGGGUGGGAGGUGCCGGGUUGUAAUUAUGGGCAAUGUUGAAGGCGGAAUCGAAGCGUCUUUGGGAGCGGAUUUGGUCUUCAAUUUCCUUUUGGGUGCGUUCGCGGCGGAUGAAUUUCUGAGCGUUGGCGUUGUUCCACCGUGAGAAGCGGACUUCAAAGGCUGGGCGGUGGUUUGGAGCGCUGGGUGGUGGUGGGACGAAUACCGGAAACUGGAUUACUGGUCUCAAGGCCAUUUUUUGGCUGAAUAUUCCUCAAAAAAGCUUCAAACUUUGAUCAAUAUAAGCAUAAAGCUAUAAUUUGCCCCGACGGAGGGAGACGUUUCUAUUUUCCAGUUCAACUCCUCCUUCAGCUUUAGCUUCAGCUGGGUCGAGCAAAUACUUGCUGGGAAGUAAGACAAGAUGGUUUCUUGAACUGGAAAUCAGGUGAAAUGCCGAGGGUAGUUUCGGCAGGACGAGACUACGAUUUUUGUUCCCCUUUGGGUAAAAAGGGAAAAUGGCCAAUUUAGUCCCCAUACUUCUUUUUACUAUCAAUUUAGUCCUUACAUAAUUUUGUUGGCCAAUUUAAUUCCUAUACUUAUUUAUCGGUUUCAAUUGAGAACUCCGCGGCGACACCACCUUGUAAUUCCGAUCAUUAUUGUAAUUUCGCGGCGGAAAAAAAAAUUUACUGAUAAUUAUUGGAAUAAAUUUAACCAUAACCAGGAUUUUCUCUUUAUUCACUUGAUUUCAUGAAACUAGAACAUUUCAAAACCCCCUAAUUCUCAAAUUAGUAUUUUGGAAAGCUCAAGGAACCAAAAGAAAAAAAAAUUUACCAAAUUCAAAACUCAUAACGUUUAACCAUGAGUUUCAAAUUAAUUACUAAAUCAAAACUACUUGACAAGUAUUUAGAAUUUGUAUAACUUUAUUAAUAAAAGAAAAGAAAAGAAAAAAAAAAUCCUUUCAUCCAACUUAGAGCACGAGAGAACAAGUGCAUUUUAUAUUUACUAAAAAUAGAAGUAACAAAGGUCAUCAUACGACGUCGGAUUGAACUUUUACUUCAGUUCGCUGUGAUUAUCUAUCCGUAAGUGUGGAGACAGCUGAGUGCAAUUAUGGAAUGGUCAACCUCCUCACGUUGGUUGGAAUAUUGGCAAUGGGUCUUCAGCUUUUGACUCUAUAAUUGGAGCAGCAGAUGAUAAAAGUUUUCUCAGGUAUCUUGGAACCUCUUCCUAUAAGUCGUCAACUUUGCAGGAGCUCAAAAUUUGUUGUUCUUUUAUAUUUCUGAAUAUCUUUGGCUCACCAUUUUAAACAAAAGAUUGAAUCUUUGUGGCCGUUUUGCCACUUUUAGCUAGUGUUUGAACUAUUCCUCAGCCCCUAGUAGAUUAAAGUAACUAGAAAUUUGAUAAUUUCCCACUUGAAAUCCUCGUGUGUUUGCAAUGGUAGAAUCUAGAAAUGAGUUUAAUUUCUGGGAUUCUUGACUUUCAAGUUUGCUGCUGUAAAUUAUAGCAAUAGGAAAUCGAGCCGUCUUUUUGCUGUCCUUGAGGCUUGAGCUAACUGAAAAUGCUUUACAUUCUUUAAAUUACUGGGGAUUAUGUAUCUUGCAAACUUUUAUGAAACUAAAGUUAACUGAAGAUGAGGUUGAAGGAUUGUUCAGCUGUAGUUGUGGGGCUGUAUGCUAAACUAUUGUGACUCUUACUACUAAUUAAAUUACUAGUAUUGAAACCUCUGUUAAGUUCCAGAAGCAUUGAAGUCAUCUUUAUGCAGCCCAAAAAAUGGGAAAAAAAUCCUGCCUGCCUUAUGAUUGCUGCGCAUGAUGAAUGCUUGAACUAAAUAUGAGAAUAUGAAGAGCGAAGAUUGAGUUUGGCAGGCAUGAGCAUAUUCCACGGAAGGAUCAUGAGAAAAUUGUUGAUUUGUGCUAUUAGUUCUGAAACUUAUACUAGGUGUGGAUUUAACUUCUUCCUGGAAGUAUCAAUAUUUAUUUGAUUUCUAACAAAAUUCAAAACAUUUGAAAAAAUUACCAUAAUUUUGUUGGAUAAACCAAAAUCAAAGGUAUAACUUGUAGGCCUGUAGAAUUUACUUGUGUUCAUGCUUCAUAUUUGUUGUUCCAGGACAUGGGAUGAAUCUGGCGGAUCAGUUUUUUAGUUUCGGUGCUGCAUCCAAGUCAAUCAACCUUACAGUCGUUUCUUGGUUAGCUGUUACUGUGUAGCAUGAGAAACAGGUCUCAGAUGGAGAGAAUGUGUACUGUCAGAAACCAGAGAUUGUUUUAUGUGGUUGGCAUUAUUACCAUCCUUAUAAUUCUUUCUCAGAUUUUGGUAGUUCCGUAUCAAAACUACAUCUCAGUUCCAUCACAUGCAAAUAUCAGCUUGAUUUUUAGCAAAACCAUCCUUUCAAAUGUUUCGCAACAGACCAAUGCAGAUGUUUUUAAUGGUAAGGCCAAUGACAACAGUGCUUCUGGUUGGGAUGAAGAUGCUCUCAUUGUGCAAGAAGAAGAAGGAUCGCAUCAAGGCCACAAUAUUUCAACGGAGGUGGGAGGACAGACAGGUGAUUACUUGGAGAAGGAGAGACAGUUACCAACUCAGUUCACAUCUGGCCGGGGAUCAACAUCUGAUAAAAUUGCAAAAAUGAUGUACUUAAAUGAACCAGAGGACAAUCCUAUACUAGAGGGCCUAGAAACUGGACUUGAGUUCACAGAGCACGUAAAGAAAUUAAAAGAUGAUGUUUCCGAAAGCCUUGCCCCAGGUGAAAUUGCAAAUUUGACAAAAGGAUCAAUCAGAAGUGUAGUCAAUUUUAUGUCUCCAAUGGCCUUGACUACUGGAUUGGAGUCUGUUGCUGAUGCUUCAGAUGCUGCAGUACCAUACCCUGCUGUCAACAUUUCUGUAGUACACACUGACAAGAAAGAUCUUGACUUGGAAUCCCACAAACAAGGUGAUAGCUUACUACAAGCUGGUUCACUUUCACCAAAAGAUAGCUCGGGAAUGUUUGGCAAACCUUUCAUAAAGAAGAAUAAUAGAAGGACAAAAUCCAUAUCUGACAUGACUAUCUUGUUGCAUCUUGGCUCUCCACCUGCAAAUUUACCGGUAAUUUGGAUUAGAGAUUAUUUCAAUAUGAACAAUGGUGGUCAGUUUUCUAUUUUCUGUGUUUGAUCUCUCAGUUUAAUUUGUUAUAGAGACCAAAAUGGUUUUCUGCUCGUGACAAGGAGCUUCAAAAUGCAAGGCGUCAGAUUGAAAAUGCUCCUGUAAUAAGAAAUGCUCCUAGAGCUUAUGCUUAUCUUUUCCGCAAUUAUUCCAUGUUUGUAAGGUGGGUAAUUUACAUGCUAGCUUUUCUUAUACCCAUUACUCCCAGAAAUUGGUAAUUGAUUUUUUUUUUUUUUUUGACUUCAAAUUGAAUUCUACAUUAGUAUAUCAUGUGCUUUAAUUUUCUUCAAGACACCUAUUCUAUUUGUAUUGUGUUAUGUGCUCUGCAACGCUUACACAGAAAUUUUCAAUAUUCUAUCUGAGUCAAAACAUUGAUUCAGAAACCUAUAUGUCCGGGCAUGUCUUGGGGAGUCGAAGCUUUAGCCUUGAAUACGAAAUUACCAAUUUAAUAGUUAGAUUGAAGCUAUCUUAUGUAGGUCUGACUCCUCCUAAUGUGUGUAGCAGAAGUUAUGAAUUGAUGGAGCGUGUGCUCAGAGUGUAUAUUUAUAAGGAAGGGGACAAACCGGUAUUUCAUCAACCACAUCUCAGGGGAAUUUAUGCUUCUGAAGGAUGGUUCAUGAAACUGAUGGAGGGUAAUAGGCAAUUUGUCGUUCGGGAUCCCAGAAAAGCACACUUAUUUUAUUUACCAUUUAGUUCUCGAAGGCUGCGGAGUGUUCUGUAUCAACAGAACUUCACAAGUCAUAGGGAUUUAGAGAAUCAUCUGAAGAACUACGUGCAUGUUAUAGCUAGUAAGUACCGCUUCUGGAACAGAACCAAAGGAGCAGAUCAUUUUCUAGUUGCUUGCCAUGAUUGGGUACGUGGUGAAUUGUUUAUGGCUGGUGGUAGGAAUAUGAAUUAACCUCCAUGAUGUCAUUGAUGAAUUCAAUAUCAAACUUGAUGCUUUUUUCUGGCUGUUAAAUUCUCUGGCUACAAGAUGAUACUUGCACUUGAAAUCUAGAACUCUCUAGGAGUUCAAGCUUUUGACUCCUCUAGAUUUUUUGGUUCAAGCUUUUGAUCCCUUUGGAUGUUUUGCAUGCAUGCAUUACCUGUCAUCCUGCAACAGUUUGGUGAAAAGCUUUUAGUCCAUUUAGGAUGGCCAUUCUUGUUGAUUGUAUUGUUGUAACUCAAUAAAUUAUCAUCAAUGUAGUUACUUCAUCAAAGAAAAUUCAGCAUUUUAACAUUUCCCCUUAGCAUAUGUUUUGAACAGAUGGUAAGCUUGUUCCUCAACGAAGAAAAAUUUUUUGUUGUAGGGCCCAGGUUUCACAAGGAAUAGUAUGGGAAGUUGCAUUAGAGCCCUCUGCAAUUCCAACAUUGCUAGAGGUUUUGAAAUAGGGAAGGAUGUGUCUCUGCCGGUUACCUACAUUCUUUCAGCAGAGAACCCUCUAAAAGACCUUGGAGGGAACCAGCCUUCGGAGAGGCCUACUUUAGCCUUCUUUGCGGGGGGCAUGCACGGUUAUCUUCGUCCUAUCUUGCUACAGUACUGGAAGGACAAAGAGCCAGAUAUGAAGAUUUUUGGGCCAAUGCCUCGUGAUCCCGACGGCAAACAAAGAUAUAGAGAGUUCAUGAAAAGCAGCAAAUAUUGCAUUUGCGCUCGGGGCUACGAGGUGCACACCCCGCGGGUUAUAGAAUCCAUAUAUUAUGAAUGUAUUCCUGUAAUCAUAUCAGAUAACUACGUGCCUCCCUUCUUUGAGAUUUUGGAUUGGGAAUCAUUUGCCGUCUUUGUAUUAGAGCAAGAUAUCCCAAACUUGAGGAACGUACUUCUCUCGAUUCCUGAAAAGAAGUAUAUAGAGAUGCAGAAUCGAUUAAAGAUGGUGCAACGGCAUUUUCUCUGGCACAAAGUUCCUGUGAAGUAUGACUUAUUUUACAUGAUCCUUCACUCCAUCUGGUACAACAGAGUUUUCCAGGUAAAAUCUUGAUCUUGAUGAGGAAGUCCAGAUUACUGGAAAAAGGUUUCAGCUGUGGAAAACAUCACAGGGACGAAGCUAGUGAUGCAAUCCGUGAUUAACAAGAAUUUUAAAAUUAGCUGAAGAUCCACCCAGGAUGACAUAAUCUUGAAGAAAAGCACUAUUGCGAAAACCAUGAUGACAUUAUUAUUAUUUUCUUGUAUAGUAGGUGGUGGAUUAGUUGUUUCGUUUUGGCUCCAUGGAACUUGUCAUUAUUGUUUUUGUAUAUUGACAUUUUUGUGUUACUUUCAGCAGAUAAAAAUUCGUCACAGAUUUGGCCCCUUUUCUGCCGCCCUGCCCGUGGGUACUUGGGCGUUUGAACUUGUAAUUGAUCUUUCAAUUAUUUAGUUACCCUUUACUGAUUGCGCAAUUUAAUUAAUUACUAACAUUUAUCUUUGCAAAAAAGUCAGCCAACUUUAUUUAAUUUACCCAUUUGACACUUUUCUUUUUAUGAUUCUGCGUGUGAUAGUCAUGCACUAUUGGUCUUAGUUCAUAAAUUAAGCAGAUUUCGUUCGGGAUUAUGUGAAUUAUCUUAUCUUUUCCUUUUUCUUUUUAUUUUAUUUAUUUAUUUAUUUUAAUAAUUAUCUUAUCUUAAAUUCUUUUUCUUUUCUAUCACUCAACCCAAUCAUCCCUACUGACUUAUCAACCAAAAUCAAAAUCCUUUUUUAGGUUGAACAAAAUAUUAAAGUCGCCAGAUUGAAAAACAAUACAAUAAACUAAAUUUAUCUUAACAAAAACACAACCAAAGAAAAAAAGGAUUUGUCUAAUGAAUUUGAAUUCAAUAAAAAGAGUGUCUACACUUGAAGGGACAUAGUGUGAGCGUACUAAACAUCAGUGUCUAUUGAUAAUUAAUUGAAAGAUAAAUAUUUGAUUAUACAAUAAUUAACUAGUAGUAUAAGAUAAUGUUCAAAAUCUAGUAAAGGGUGUCGUACUACUUUUUACAAGUCAAAGCCAAAAAAUUCUCUAAGUACGAAAAUAAGGGAUAAUUUCACAAACCUCCGUUGGUUGAGGUUUCUGACACUUGCAUUAACACCCCAUGAGGUUUUAAAAAUUUCGCUGCAACGUGAUUAAGUUGUUUGAGUGUGACAGAGUGAAUCUGCAGUGCUUGCAGCAAUAUUUCAAAUAGGAAAAUUUGUCAAGUUGGUCCCUAAUAUUUUUACAAAAAAAAACUUUUUUUGUCUCCAACAUUUAAAAUCAGCCAGAAUCGUCCCUAACAUAUAAAUUAUGAUCCAUUUUAAACCUAAUGCUCAUAUUUACUCAUUUUUUUGACUAAAAAUAGCACGCCUCUCUCACGUGGAUAUAUUUUUAAGGGCAAAAUAAAAAAACACACUUUAUUCUCGGUUGAAAGCAAUAGUAUCCCUUUUCAUCUUUCGCCCUAAAAUUACAGUCACAAGAAACCCUAAUUUUCCCCCCGAAUCUUGAGAGGAAACAUAUGAAAAAGGCAUUGUAUACCCAAUGUUGAAUAGGGCUCCUUUUUUUUUUUUGCUUUCGUGCGAAGCAGACACCAAGCACCACAAGACCAAUUGCCAGAAAGCCCACAAAUCCAAUUGUCAUGACAACUCCACCCUUCAUGCCCCCACCAUUUCUAGAUAUUGUGAUUGCAGUAAUAUUUAGAGCAAGUGUAGUUAAUCUUGCAGUGGGUUUCUCAGGGGCAAUUGUUGGUAAGAUUGAGCCAGUUGGAGCAUCAGAUUGGGAUGCAUUAUUCCGGGAGGCAGGAGGAGAAGGUAGAAUAAGAGAUGCGGUGAUGGGAGAAGGAGACGCCAUCGAAAGUGGAGAGGAAUUUAACAAGGGUGGAGCCUGGAAAGAAGCAGGUGAUGGUGGAGGAGGUAAUGCAAGAGAGGGAGGGCUUGUAAGUGGUGACUUUAUAGUGAGAGGUGGUGGAAAAACUGAGGUAUAUGUUGAUGGGACUGCAAUUGACCGAGGAGGAGAGGGUGAAAGACCUGAAGGGGGAGGUGUUAUGCCAAAGAAAGGGAAAGGUGAUGGUUGUGGGGAAGGAGGGGUGACAAGUUUACAGAUGCAAGAGGGGCAGCACGGGGUGGCGGUGGUGGCACAGACGGAAGGGGAGGGAUGGACGAAGAAGGUAAUGAAGGGAAGUGGGCGGUGUUGAUAAUGAUGGUGGUGAUGAUUGGGAUUGGGGAGGAGGGGAAAGGUAAGCAAGAAAGUAUGUUUUCCAAUUUUGCCGUAAAAAAUAUAUCCACGUGAGAGAAACAUGCUAUUUUCAGUUGAAAAAAUGAGCAAAUACGAGUAUUAUGACAAAAAUAGAUCAUAAUUUAUAUGUUAGAAGCGAUUUUAACUGAUUUUAAAUAUUGAGAGCUAAAAAAAUUUCUUUUGUAAAAAUAUUAGGGACCAAUUUAAAAAAUUUUCCUUUUAAGUAAUAAUAAUAAUAAAAAAGUUGCGGCCAGAAAGUAGCUCAAUAAUGGCUACUUCCCGUGGGUCCCAGAUGCAGCCAAUUCAUUCAAAAUUAAAGGGAUAAUUGCAGAAACCUCCCCUGAGGUUUCUACUAUUAACAUUGACAUCUCCUAUCAAUUUUGAAAUAGUAUUGACCUCUCUUAAAAAAAGUUGGAACCAAUUUAAAAGGUAAAAGUGUGUGAAUUUACUAGAGUACCCCAAUUGGAUUUAACUUUACCAGAUGAAAGGUUUAAUUACUUUCAUCAAAACCAACAAAUCCUUUCUUAAACAAAUUAAACUAAACAAACUAUUUCUUCUUAUUAUUAUUAAACUAAACAAACAAUUAAUAUACUAAAUUAAUCGAUCACCUAAAACAUUAUCCUAAGAUGCAUUCUCAGUCAUCGGCAUUUAUUCUUCAAUGCAAGUCUCAACUCCCAACUACCUUAAUUUGUCCAAACAAAACGUGAAAAAGAAAAUAAAAUAUUGUCCCAACGAUCAAUAAUUCAGUCAUCUACUAACUCUCCACAGAAAAAUUGGAUUAUAUAUCAAUAACUCAUGGUCGCAGCUGCAGCAAAAAAACGUGUACCUUUUACUUGCUUAUAAGUUAAUUUGCUGUGAAAAGAAGCAGGACGUAAAUUUGAUUACAGGGAACUCUUUCUUCCCGCAUUAGAAUGAACCAGUAUCGCACCAUUGGAGCUAAGUUCUUGUUACGCGUAAGCUGAUUCCAAAGUACAAUGAAUAUCGCAUUUGACCUUACAAUAACUCUACCAGCUGCGUAUGCUUUAUGUACGCACUUGUAUCAGGUAACCUAUAUAUGUUAGCACUAUUUUGAAUAGUUUUAGUUUUUUGUUUUACACUUGUAACUCAAUUAUUGAAUGUCAGUGUUGCAGAAUCUGAAGUUAUUUUCACCUUAAAAUUAAUUGGCAAACACUCCCUCUUACCCUUGACUUGAGCUGAACAGAUUAAUGUGACUUGCUAAACAGGUCAAGCGGACUAGAUUUAUAAUCAAGACAAAAUUUACUAGUUAAGACAAAAAAAAAAAGGCUAAAUGAAUCAGAGCAUUUUCAUAGCAAAAGUCUAUGAAACCAAGCUCAAUACAUAGAGUUCGAGCCGUGUGUGAUGGAACAUGAUCAAGUACUACCUUUGAAAACAUGUUAAAGAAUAUAAACUUUUACUUCAAAACCAAUUGGGAAUGAAUAAAGUAACCAUUGUUAAUUAGUUUAGUUGGUCUUGAUUAACUGACGGGAAAAUUAGAAUGUAUAACGGCCACCAUUUAGCUUCUUCCUUCCCAUCUCCUCCCUUCUUUUUUUUUCCAUUUUUCUCUUUAGCCAAAUAGAUGAAGUUUGUUUUUUUGUCUUCAAACAACUAGAUGAAAAUGUGAAUCCAAUUAAGAUGAUGCAUCUUGAAAGGCUUAACAAUUUUAAAGAAAUGAAAUCUAUGUCUAAAUUUUCCACUACUACUUUCAGAUUGUCAAACAAAACUUUGAAUGAAACAUUUAGAUUAAAAAAUCUCCUACAAACAAAGAGAACGUACGUGUAAUCUACUUUCGCUAUUCUUUGCAAGACAACUUGCGGUCAGUUUCAUGCUCAGGCCAUGGAAGUGCCUACCUAGAUGGCUUAGUUUUAGAUGGUGGAAAACCAGUUUGUGAAUGUACUGGGUGCUAUACAGGCCAUGAUUGUUCAGAGCUUAUGCCUGACUGCAUUGCAGACGCUGAUAGGUAUUAGUCUAACCACCAAUAGAACUAGAGCGGGGGGAGGGAGGGUCAAUUGCCCAAGGUCUGAAAAUUUGGGUUUUAUACCGUUGUGAAUUCUAGAUUGAAUUUUUUGAAAUCCUUUCUCCAGUGGUCUAUACUUGCAAACUUUUUGAAAAGUUCUAAUACUUUUGGAUAAGCAAAAAAAUUCUACAUUAGAGUUUUAGUUGAUGAAUCAGAACUGUAGCUCUUACGUAUGUUGAAUUGGACUGAAAAAACGUUGAAAUCUAAUCUUGACUCUCUUGGUUGCAUGCAGAGGAAACCCGACGUUCUUAGAGCCUUUCUGGAGAAAGAAUGCAUCAAGUAGUGCAAUUAUGGUGGCAGGAUGGCAUCACAUGGGCUAUGAAUUUGAAGAUGGUUCACUAACAUCUAAAAAACAGGAGAAGCAAAUAUGAAAGCUGCAUGCUACAACCGGAAAUGCAAUCAUAGAUGGAAAAUACAUAGUCUUUGGCGGUGGCUCGACUCAAUUCCUUAGUGCAGCAGUAAAUGCUCUUUCAUCCAAGGUUUCAUCAUCACCUACAAAGGUCGUUGCAUCUGUGCCAUAUUACCCGGUUAGUCAUUGAAAACAUCAAGUGAAUUAUCAUCUCUAACACUUGAAGCCAAAUCUGGUCAAGAAUUAUAUGUUACUCUUGUUUAAUGCUUGAUGAAGUUAAUCAUUUUCUAUUACUACUGAUAGGGUGUUAAUUGUUAGUUAUUUUAUUGUUAUUUUCCCCUUUGUCCUUGCCAAAUAUUGCUUUAAUUGUUAACAUAUACUUAUAUUUGGUAUUUGAACCUAAUUUCAGGAAAUGGGGCAAAAAAGUGCUAAAAAAUGGAGAUCUUUUUGAGACAAAUACUCCAUACGUGGGAAGUGCCUAAAAGUAAUUACAAACCUAGCUCCACAAGAUGCUACAAACGGAUCUUCCAUCUUGGUGCUGAUAAAGAGUUGACAUAUACUAGAAGUCCUACUAGGACUACAAAACGAAAAGGAAGGAAUCUCUCGGGGAGUGAUGGAAGCUUUUUGUUGUUAAUUGUUCCUUAUCCGGUGGAGAUCACGAAGAGAAGUUAGACAAUUGUUUUAGAUUAGAAACAACUCCGUUCCUUUGGGUUUCAUCCAACUCCUUCGUUUUUAUUUAUUUUUUCCUUUUUCGUCUCUUCGAGGGGAACAUAGCUUAUUUUCGAUAAUAACUUUUGCAAUUUCGCAUGAGAUUUCCUCCAUGUAGAUGAACUAAGUUUCUCAUCUAGUCGAAAGCCAACUUAAAGACGCGGUUCCAAAUAUCUGUGAAAUCGAAUUAAUUUUAUUUAUUUCUUUUAUUCAUUGGUAUUUGUAUAUUUCCUGAUUUAAUUGCUUAUGCUUGUUAUGUUAUUUGAAUGUCAAGAGCCCGAUAUUCGAAUUAAUCUAAUGAUCUAAUGUCAAAUUAAUUGAUUGAAUCCGUAAUUGUUCAAUUGAUUAAUACUAGUGGUAACUAACGUGAUUGAUUUCAUGUUAGGGAAACGUAUGAUUUAAGUUAAACAAAUCAUCGUAGCGUGUUUGUUGGUUAGGGUUGGAUUUUUCUAAUUAUUAAUGCAAUCGAAUAAUUAAAUCCUACGGUCAUACCUAGGGUUAUUUCUUGGUUAGAGAAAUAGUUAACGGUCGUACCUUAACUUUCGAGAAAUUAAGAAAAGACUGAUUGUUCAUCGCGUGUAUGACAACUAUAACCAAUCUCGUAAUGAGUAAUUGAAUUAUCUUUGCAUCGAUAAUCAGUUGAUUGGACCGUGUCUGAAAAGUUGCACAUUUGGCUAAAGUCGUAUUGGUUAUUGAUUAAUUCUUGUUUAUUUCUCUUAGUUGUUUCAUUAGUUAGUUAAUUAGUUAUUUUAUAUUUUUCAAAAAUUUCCUAUGCGCUGUACUCUAGAAGAAACGAAUUAUCCUCAAUUCCUGUGGAUUCGACCCUACUUACCGCUAUAUACAAAAUUUGUAUUUCUCUUGAGAAUGUAAUUAUUAUUGCACAAACUCGACACCUGUCAACUAUUAUUCAAUGUUGCCUUUCGAUUGCACCAGCAAUAUUUGUUUUGUAUUGUGAAGGAUGUUGGGGAGUUCCAUGAUGCUCUCCUGUGGUUGGAAGAAGCCAUUCUCUAGGGACUGCAAUAUGACUUGAAGCUGCCAAACUGAAUGUCAAGCAAGCUGUGCAAACUGAGUUGAAAAAUUGCUGCUCAUUAUUUUGUAGUAAUCCUGGUAUUCAUGGGAGACUGACCAUCGUUUAUAAGCAAGUGCAAGGAACUGCACAAUUAGCCGUUAAGUAGCCGUUGAUUUCUCAGCAAAUGAAGUUGUUGCAGGUCUACGUCUGGAAGCAUGAUGUUGCAUUUAUACCCCCUGAACUUGCUUGAUGAUUAAUGCCUAUGCCCCUCCCUUGUUAAUAUUACUUGUCAAACAAGAUCAGGACAAAUUUGAAAGAAAUUUCUUAUCUCACUUCUACAAAUGAAUUUUUAAUGGGACAUCAAGCUGCCUGGACUGAUUUUGCAACAUAUUGUUCCUGUUUAGGGGUGCUGUAUGCCAUUUCUGAACUUAAAGGGGAGGUCAGUGCAAGUGUCAGUAGUUUCAGGGGAGGUUUCUGCAAUUUUCCCAAAAUUAAAAUAUCAGCAAUAAGCUAAACUUUCGCCAUUUGAAUAUUCUCCUCCUGUAACUAUCUUACUCAAGCAAGCAGGAAAAUUGCUUAAGAUCAAUUAAUCCAAAAGCAUUAAAUAAAAAGAAGAAGAAGACAGCUCAAACAAAACGAUUAUCACAAAGUUAAACGCAAGCAGAGAAAAAAUCUUUUUUCGUUUGGUCUUAUAACUCUGGAUGGAUAAGGGCUCUCUGCUACAGAGUAUCUACUUGUCUAAUAAGUGAUUACUAAUAACAAGGAAAUCUACUAAGGGGGCGCUUGGUUCAAGUUUAGGAAUUGAAAUUGUAAUUGGAAUCAUAGACUCUGGUUUUGGAAUUAAAAUUUUUCAUUCCAAUAUCUUGCUUGGUUCACACAUUGGAAUUAGCAUUAUUCCAAUUCCUGAUGCUUGGUUUGAUGAGUGUUUCGGAAUUAAAUGCAAUUAAAUUCCAAAUUUACCCCUGAUAUAACAAUUCUUCUAAAACAAAAGAAUUACACAUACGACAAAUUAACAUUUUCAUAAUUGUAACUACAAUAGUUAUUAACUUUUUGAUAAAACAUAAGAAAAUCAUAAAUAAUAAAAAAAUUAAUACCAGAAAAUAAAUAUAGUGGCUGCAUUAACAAGGAGUAAAUUCCCAAAAAAAGGAGUUUUUAAACAAUCACCCAAAAGGUGAUGAUUUUUUAGUCUCUUCCCAAAGGGUGAAAAAUGCAUCCAAGGAAUGUGUUCUUCCAAAUAAAAACGCAACUUUCAAAUACGUUAUUUUAUGUUUUGGAAAUUUAUUUAAAUAUGAAAAAUUGGUUAAAUAGCCCAUAAGAUACCAGCUCUUUAUGGAAAAUUGGCAGGUUUUGUACCAGCUUUAUGGAAAAAUUUGAUUAAAUAGUGCCCAAAGGAAAACUAGUAUGUUUUGUAUUUAACAUAAAUUAAAUAUGUGAAAGUUAAAAAAACAAAAUUACCCAUAAGAUACCAGCUCUUUAAGGGAAACUGACAGGUUUUGUAGUAUGUUUUGUACCAACUCUUUAUGGAAAACAUACCAAUUCUUUAUGAAAAAAAUUGAUUAAAUAGCGCCCAAAGGAAAACUAGUAUGUUUUGUAUUUAACAUAAAUUAAAUAUGUGAAAGUUAAAAAAAAAAAGAAAUUACUCAUAAGAUACCAGAUCUUUAUGGGAAAUUAGCAGGUUUUGUAUUUAAUACGCUAUUUAACCAAUUUUUUAUAUUUAAACAAAUUUACGAAAAUUAAAAUAACGUAUUUGAAAGUUGCAUUUUUAUAUUAGAUAAUGAUAUGAAAUAGAUCUCUCCUUACAUAUAUGAACAAAAGAAGGAGACUCAAAUCACAAAAGCUAACCAUACCAAAUACAAGUCAAUUGUCUAAUCCAGUCGAGAGUGCCACUCAAUGUCCACAAUCUCCAAAAGACUAAUCAUAUAACCAUCUAACAAUCACCAUAACAAAAAGAAAUUGCCAUCAAAUCAUCACUUUCCAGCUAACAAUAAUUUUACUUCAGCGAGUAGAUGGAGGAUAAAGGAGGUUAAUUACAUAUUGUCGUUUCAUUUCUGCAGGAAGAUUGUAGAACACAUGAAGCUUGGAAAUCUGCUCCGAAAGUAUGUCGGCUGCAUUCAUUACAUCUCCACUCGGUAAAGCAAGUUUCAUUAACUCAGCAACAACUUGAUCUCUUCUAUCGGAGACCAAUUGCUCACGUUUAUCCUCAUUUGACAUGGCUGCUGCCAUAGUUGUGAAAUUAGCUUGAAUUCCCUCCACGAAAUCUCCAAAUUUGCUGGUGAGAAGUUGCAAUGAUGCAUCAAGAUCACCCCUUGUUGUUGAUGCAGAUUUCAUUUUUUUUGACACAUUUGCAAUGGGAGGGGAUUGUUUCUUUUGUUUCUUGGAAUUUCUUGUACUUGUUGAGCUUGGUUGAGUUGAUUGCUCUAUGGAAUUUACUUCAUCUUCUUCUACCUUAUCAUUAUCCGAGUUUGACAUAGCAUCAAGCCCUUCAUGUCCUUCCUCCAAAUUUUGGACAUCUUCCAUAUCUUGGACAGCUUGUGCAAAAUCUUCAGCAACAUUUCCAGUGGCUCUGUCUCUUCCAUAUACAAUUUCAAGAUCUCCUAAAUAUGGAAAUUUGACAUCCCAAAGGCCCUUCGCAUCCUUAUGAGUCUAGAGAUAGAAUAGAAAGAUAAAUGAUAAUCUUAAUAAAAGGUUGAAAAAGAACAUAUCAGAAUGUAAAAAGUAAUCAAUUUCUUACCUUGCACCAAUCAUCAUACCACUGUUUUUCACAAGAAAUCUUUUUCUCAGCAUCAUUCCAACUACAACCACUUUCUUUGCACAUUUCAACAAUUGCAUGGAACCUAUUUUUCAGCCACUUAACUUUUGAUUCAAUAUGUGGGCUGACUUGUUUGGUAAAAGUAGGUUGCUUACGCAAGAUAAUUUUAAGCAAUUCGCUCAUAUAAUUAUUUUUAAAUCCUCCAUCUGAUUUUCACAUUGGAUCACAAGCCAACUCUUGCAAUGAUUCUAUGAGCACUUUUACCUCUUCACCAGUCCAAAAACAUUUAUUUUUCCCUCUUCCACGUACAAUUUCAUCAUUCUCCAUCCUAUCAUUUAGAAGUCAACCCAUAUAUAUCAAUUAAUUUUGAUACACAAUAGCAUAUAACUGAAAUUUAUAAUAUAACAAAACACAUAAAAGAACAUACAAUUAAAAGUCAAUCCAAAUUUAAAAGAACAUACAUCAAGUGUCAAUCUAAUUCACAAAUCCACUACAAGAGUACAUCAAAUGUCAAUCCAAAUUUAAUAAGUCUAAGAGCUAAACAUCCAUUCAUAGCUAAAUACUAAGUCCAGCCCUCCAAUUGUCAAACAUUUCAUGUGCUAAAUUAUUUCUAAAAUUUGCCCAUUGAUCACUUGGCAAAAUAGUGGAUAUACACUCUACUUCUUCAUCACUGUCUUCAUCUUCACUUUCAUUUUCUUCACUUUGUAGUAAUUCUUGUGGAUCAAAAGUCAUGAACUUCCUUAUCAAGUUGUGCAGCAGACAACAUGCCAUAAUUAUUCGCACUUGUCUUUGAAUUGGAAAAAAUGAAGGGGAUGCUAGAAUCUUCCACCUUCCUUUUAGUAAUCCAAAACAUCUUUCUAUGAUAUUUCUAGCUUUAGAAUGUUUCAUGUUGAAAUAUUCCUCUGGUCUUUGUGGUCGAUAACCAUUGAAUUCAUUAAGGUGAUAUCUUUGCCCUCGAUAAGGGGCAAGAAAUCCAUCAGCAUUACAAUAUCCAGCAUCCACCAAGUAAUAACAACCUUCAAAAUUCAAUCAUGUACAAAUUAAUACUAGACUACCUUAUUUUCGAAAAAAAAUUGAUUGAAUGGUAUUGAAUACUGCAAUAUAUGUUUACCUUGUGGGACUCUAAGACCAUUUGGUCUAGAGAUAGCAUUUCGAAGCACACGACCAUCAUGUGCCGAACCUUCCCAACCAGGCAAGACAUAGAUAAAUUGCAUAUUAGGAGAACAAACCCCUAAUACAUUCGUUGCAAUACUUCCUUUUCUCGUUCGGUAUCUUGAUUUUUGUUCGGUGGGUGGUGUCACAUCUAUUAAUGUCCCAUCUAAGGCACCUAAACAAUUCUAUUUUAACAAAAAUAAAAAAUAUAAAUGAGUUAAAAUGUCUAUAUUGGAUAGUUUAGAUGAAAACAUACAUUUUAUUAAAUGAUUGUAUUUUAAUAUUUGAAUUACCUUAAAACAUUUCCAUCUCUCAUCCGUGCAAUCUUCGGUAAUAGGCUCAGGCUUCUUAAGUAAUAUAGUAUGCAAUUUCAAAACUGCUAGGAGGCAAAGAUUAAAUUGACGACUCACCGUUUCUCUACUUCUCCAAAAUAGACCACAAAUUGUUCUACUUUUCUUGUGGUGAGCCAAAACAUAUACAAACAUGGCAACAAUUUCUUCUAUUGACAUGUUUCUUGUAGCUUUCAAACCUCCAGUGUCUCUAAUCAUUUCACAUAAUAUCCCAAAUGUUCGUCUAUCCAUAUGAAGUUCGCUAAUACAAUAAGCAUCACUCUCCCUAGUCAAAUUGAAUAAGUGUUGCAUGCGCUCAGUGACUUUUUCUUCUUUUGAUUUUAUUUGGCGUCUUCUACUUUUGAGAUGUAUGAAUAUUAACUGGUACCACAUCAUAAACAGUGCAAUAACAACCAUUAUCAUUCCUGAUAAAAUCUGGCUUUGCCCUCGAUAUUUUUUGCGUCUUCUGUUUUCAAUAGGCAAACGUGGCAUCUUUGUCUACAUAACAAUAUGACAACCAAACGUAAGUAUUCACCAAACUAGAUUACAGCAUCAAAAUCUUCAAAUGCAUUAAACAUCAAUUGAUCUUAUUAAAAGGGCCUAGACAUGCAUCAUACAUCCGUAAACACAAUGAUGUAUAGAUAUAAAUAAGCAUAAACAAACGAAAUUGAUGGUUGAAACUUGAAAUCCUAAUGUACGAAUAACUAUGAAACUGAAAGCUAUUCAAGCAGACAAUUUUACAAACAGGUACAGGGCAUGUAGAAACCCACCCAAACUAUACCAGUAUUCACGGAUCAAAUAACCAAAAGAUCAAGAAUUGAUUGACCUCCAUUGAAUGCGAAAUCCAAGAAAACACAUUAAAAACAUAAAAAUGACAAAUCUAGUGACAUUAACAUUUAUCUCACCAAAAAAAAGAACAAAAUAAUGUAUUUGUUGAAGUAAGUGAAUUAAAAUACAUGUAUUACAACAAAAUACAUGGAUUAAAAACAUGUAUUAUUCUCACCAAUAAUAGUGUAUUUGUUGCGGAAAUAAUUUCUUAUUGGAUUUUGUAACAAAAGAAUAUGAAUUCAUGGAAGGAAGACUUUUUUGCAAAACAGAGAAGAUUUGGUCCAGUUAGUGUUAUUGUAUCAGAUUCCCUUCUUUUCUUCUUUAUUUUCAGCUACCCAGUGAGUAGCCUGAAAAAACAGAGAAGAAGAAAGAGAAAAGCUUGCAUACGAAAAGAAAAUUGCAGAGGCAAGGGAGUUUGUAAUCCACUGACCUGGGAUCAAGGAAUUCACCCUAGUAGAAGACUCUUCAACUCUAGAAUUCGUUGUCCAAGGAGAGUCGAAAGCCACUGAUCUUUAUGGUUGUUCAACCGGUGAAGUAGAAGAGGUAGAAAAUCUGAUGAAGAAAAAGAACAGAAGGUGCGGCGUGUAAUGAAGAAAAAAAGAGGGUAGGUUCGUCAUAAAUAUUUUUGCUCGGGAAUGAGUUGAGGGUUUUGUCCAAAACCUCCCAAUUUACUCAGGAAUGGUGAAAGUCCGAUUUUUUAGAAAUGAUUCCAGAAAUUGCAUUCCAAUAGACUUAACUCAAGCAACAAAUAAGGGGUUCGUUCCAUUAUUUGAUUCCCAUACCCUUUAACCAAGCAGCCCCUAAGUGUUUUAAAGCCCUGAGUGAUGGUGGGUGGUUACGUUUUCCACUCGAAUGUUGUGUACUACUUCUUGUUUCUUGUGGCUGUCUAGCUUAGUUUAUUAUCAAGGCACAGUAUCUUUUCUUUUCUUAGCUAAACCUAGGACUGUCAAUGGGGCUGGGUCAGCCCGAGCUCGGCUCGUUCGGCCCGACAGAAAGCCCGAUGAGCCGAUCAUUUAGUGAGCCGGUCUGAGCUUGAGCCUAAAAAUUAGGCCCGAAUUAAAUGUGAGCCGAGCUUGGGCCUUAUUAGGCUCAUACCCGAUAUAGGCCCGGCCCUUUAAUUACCUAUAUAUAUAAUAUUUAUAUUUUGAUAUUAUGUAUAAUUAUAUAUCCAAAUAUAUUUUUGCUAAAUACUAAAUAUAUAUAUAAAUUACAAAACACAAAAACACAUCUAAAGACUCUUUCAUGAGUUUUCUUGAGAGCCAAUAUUAGUAAUGCAUAACUAAAUCUCUAAUUUUUCUUAUUGGUUGAGUAACUUUUUGUAUUGGCAUAUUAUUGGUUGAUUUUUUUUUUUGGUCUACAAACACAAAAAUCAUCAAGCAUAUUUGGAUUUAAAUCACAAGAUUAUAAAAAAAAGUUUCAACUUUUAAAGAUGUAUUGGCCUAUGAUUGCAUGUUUUAUUACUAUUUUUCAUGCAUUUUAAACAGAUUACAUAUAAAUAUUGUUGAAAAAAUUUUGGUUUAUAUACUUUUUAAGAACUAUUAUUUGUUCAUGUUUAGUUUUAAUAUUAUAGUCUUGUAAAUGUUAAAUUAGUUUUACAACUUAAUAGUUAUAGUAAUUAUAUUAAGAAAAUUCAGGAGUAAUAAGUGAGCUUGGGCUAAGCCCGAUUAAGGCUCACAACCCGAAUAUUAUGUGAGUUGAGUAUGAGCUUCACAUUUACGAACCCGAAGCUCAUAGCCCGAAGCCCGAAAAUGUCUCAAAUUAAAUGAGUUGAGCUUGAACACAUCAAAGCCCGGCUCAUUAGGCCCGAUUGACAGGCCUAGCUAAACCAGCCAAAGGUCUCUCUUUCUCGAGAACCGACAGUGACGGAAAAACGGCUUCUUGGAUUUUGAUGCAUGUUGCUUCUCCAGGCUAGUGGUACUAGUACUCGAGUUUCUGCUUGCUUGGUGGUACCUCUGCUUCCUCUCUCUACACUCGGAUCACGCGCGCCGACUGAGGUACUCCUUUGAGUAUAAUACAAUUCUUGAAGAAUCCUCGGCUCCAUUUUGCGGUUUAAACCCCAAUCCUUUUGUUUAAUGCGUUUAAUAUACUUGAUUUAGUCGUUUUUAUUUGUUUGUUACGCCUUUAGCCUUAAGUCUUGCUGGUUAAUGGUGAUUCUGUGGUUGGAAUUGUGAUGGUAGUUGUUUUAGGGGAAGAUGGUUGCCAAAAAUGCGGCUCAUUUUAGGUUCUUUUGAUACUCAAUUAAGGAUCGAUUAGGCCAUCAAGGUUUCUCAUGGUCAUAAUCAAUAAGAUCUUUUGCUGGAAAAGAUUUUAGAUAUCUAAGUUGACACCCACGGACCCAUUCUGAGAUUCUGGAUGUUUCAACGUCCAAUAGUGCCAAGUUUUUUGUUUUCUUUCAUUCUUCUUCUUCUUUUUUAAUGGUGUUCUUUGACUAGCUUUUGGCAUCCAAUAGCAAUUUCAAAUUUAUGUUUUUCAGGCUAUAAUUAGUAGUUUCAGUUUCUUGAUCGCCUCGGCCCAUGGUAUACUUUUGGCUGAAUCUCUAAUAUGGAUUACACUGUCCCUAUUCGAAGGAUAUAUCAGUUUGAGAAAUGGAAAUGGCUAUUGAUGGUAGGUUUGGUGGCUGCUACUCAUUUGUUUUGUCAGUCCCUAAUACUUCCUUAUGGCAAUGCUCUUCUAUCUCUUAUACCUGACGGAACUGUACAUGAGAAGGUCGAGCUUAUUUCUAAGCAAUCAGCUGCCGCCAAGUCUGUGAUUCUUGAUGAUCCUCUUAUUGAUAAUGUGUCAAAUUUGGUCAACAAAUCUCUACUCACUCGGAGCAUCAAACGGGUGGGGCAAACAGAUGCCAUUGCUGGCAGUCGAGAUGACGAAAUAAUUAUGACCGAGGAAACUGAGAAAGAAAAUCAAGUUCUUUCUGAUAGCAAAGGCAUUGAUAAUGCUGUUGAUUUUGUUGAAGAUGCCAAUCUAGACAAUGACAUGGCAUAUGAGAUAGGGAACAAAGAUGAAUUGGAUUCAGUGGAAAGUGAUGAUCAAACUCAUGAUUUUGGUUUGGAAAACAAUGGUGAAAUUAAGGCCAGCCUGUCACUUGAACAGGUUGUGGAGCCAAAUAAUCAUACUUUAUCAGACAAAAUGCCCAGUUCGAGUAUAAUGAUGAAAACUGCAUUGACCUCCGCCAAUUCAUUGGUUAAUGUAACAUUUUCAGGAAACUUGGCAUCAAAUGUAAGCAUUGUCAAUAGUUCUAAUUUUGAUGCAUCUUUAGGGGAAAAAGAAAUGAUAGCGCUUCCGUCUGAGUCUGAGGGGAGUAGUGUCCUCCUGCAUACUCAUGCUACUGGCUCAAGUAAUAAUUCUGCAUUAGUAAGUAACCUGGCUAAAAAGAAGAUGAAGUGUGAAAUGCCUCCAAAAAUGAUAACACCAAUCCCUGAGAUGGAGCGGUUGCUAGUCCAUCGCCGUGCUCGUUUCCGUGCAAUGGUAGACCUUCCCAUUUCAAACUCAGUGUCGUUAUUGUAAAGCUUUGGUUUUUGCAUUAUAUGUAUAACUCAGCUCCUCAAUUUUUAUUGUAGAGACCCCGAUGGUCAUCAGAACGUGACCGUGAAAUAUUGUCUGCGAAGGUACAGAUUGCGAACGCUCCAGUUAUAAGAAAUGACCGAGAACUUUAUGCUCCAUUAUUUCGAAAUGUUUCAACUUUCAAGAAGUAAGUGCUUUUGUCGGAUACUAUUGAACUUGAGAACUAUCACUUGUUCCAUCACAGCCUGUUAAAUACAGCACCUUCCUCGCGUUCUUCUUCUUUACUUCAGGGACUGAUUCAAUAACGCCAGUCAACUUAUAGUCUGAAAUUGCAAGAUUAUGGUGUAAUGUAAUUCAGAAAUAAAUAAACGAUGAACAGAUAAAAACAAAAAACACUUGGUACACCUCUAGUGUUGCUCUUCGCAUACUUGCAUUCCUGAUACUUCCUUUCAUCUGUACCCUGUACUUUAUGAAUCCUGAAGGUUCAUACAGUGAUCACCUCAAUACCAAUUUAAGUUACAGGAAUUGUUGAAUCUCUUGAGUUUGAAAUUCUGAUCGAUGUUGGAGUGAAUAUUGGAUGCUAGAAAAUGGAGUCAACAUAUUUUUUGCAGUGGUUAGUACAUCAGUUUUAUGGAGUAUUAGUCUGUCAAUUUGUUAGUUUGCACGAGUAGGUUUGUCUUCAAAUGGUAUAUGUCCUAAUUCCAGCAUUACUAUGUGACAGGAGCUAUGAGCUUAUGGAACAAAUACUUAAGAUUCAUGUCUACAAGGAAGGAACUAAACCCAUUUUUCAUCAACCAAUCCUCAAAGGAUUAUAUGCAUCAGAAGGAUGGUUUAUGAAACUGAUGGAGGGAAAUAAGCGUUUUGUUGUGAAAGAUCCACGAAGGGCACACCUUUUUUAUAUGCCCUUCAGUUCUAGAAUGCUUGAAUACACACUUUAUGUGCGUAAUUCACAUAAUCGUACAAACCUCCGCCAGUAUUUGAGGGAUUACUCUGAAAAAAUUUCAUCCAAGUACCGCUACUGGAACAGAACUGGAGGGGCAGAUCAUUUUCUGGUUGCUUGUCAUGAUUGGGUAAUGCUUCCCCUCUUCAUAUCUUUUGGGAUAAUUUUGGCAAAUAUUUCUGCGGUUCACAAAGAUAAUAUGCUUUUCUCCUCUUUUACUAAAUAUUUAGUACAAUCUAAACAUGAGAUAUAGUACACAUACCCCUACAAGAGAGACGCAUGCAUAAAGCGGAGAAUAUGCAUCUCUUUGCUAUUUGAUGUCCUUUUUACCAUUAAGAAUUACUGCUUAGGGUGGGAUGAUACACGUAUCUUCUGUUAUAAUGCGCUGCUUUCUUGAUGUAUUCAUAAAACUAGAAAUCUGUUUCCAGAGCAUGUCAUGAUGUCUUUUUUGAUUUCGUAGGCUCCAUAUGAGACAAGGCACCACAUGGAACAUUGCAUGAAAGCACUGUGCAAUGCUGAUGUUACGUUAGGUUUUAAAAUAGGAAGGGAUGUUUCCCUUCCAGAAACAUAUGUCCGUUCGGCACGGAAUCCUCUUAGAGAUCUUGGAGGAAAGCCAGCAUCAGAGAGGCAUACUGUUGCUUUCUAUGCAGGCAACAUGCAUGGUUAUUUGCGUCCGAUCUUGCUUAAACAUUGGAAGGACAGAGACCCCGAUAUGAAGAUCUUUGGUCCAAUGCCUCCUGGUGUAGCCAGCAAAAUGAACUACAUCCAGCACAUGAAAAGCAGCAAGUAUUGUAUCUGUCCCAGGGGCUAUGAAGUUAACAGCCCAAGGGUGGUUGAAGCCAUAUUUUAUGAGUGUGUUCCAGUGAUUAUAUCUGAUAAUUUUGUACCGCCAUUCUUUGAAGUCCUAAACUGGAGUGCAUUUUCAGUAAUCCUUGCAGAAAAAGACAUACCUAACUUGAAAGAAAUUCUCCUAUCCAUACCUGAGGCAAAGUAUCUUGAAAUGCAAUCUGGGGUGAGAAAGGUUCAGCAACAUUUUCUCUGGCAUGCAAAGCCUGUGAAGUAUGAUCUCUUCCAUAUGACCCUUCAUUCCAUUUGGUACAACAGAGUUUUCCAGAUUAAACCUAGAUGACCCUUUCCAAUAGGUCCUUUUGAACUAAGACAAGUGGAAGCUCUGAAGGAAAGAUAGGAGACGUCAAAAUGCAUGAGCCAAUUGCUGAUCAUGCGAUCUGCUUCUCCUGAUUGCACGAAUAGGUUUAUGCUCUAGGUUCUCCUUAAUGGUUCCUCUUUCCUUCCACCCGAGUCAUUUUGAAUCAAAAUAGGAAAUACCGAGGAACUCAUUGAACUGUUUACAAUUUGCUUUAAGUGACUCCUUGUAUGUAUGAAGUUUUUGUCAAUUUCUUUUUUUUUGGAGAUGAGUUAGCUGUUGAGGCUGUCAAAUUAUUAUUGCAGAUCGCAUCGACAAGAAGGGUAACAGCUCUAGUCGUACGUAGCAUAGCAGGUUGGUUGGAAUUUCAAAUGUAUCCUCUUAAAAGCUCCAAUUAGCUUUCAUGCCGGAUUUGUUUUCAUAGAACCAGAAACUUGUUGCAAUUACUAUUUGGUAGUGGAAAUUAAGUGGACCACGGGCAGGAACCGUUCCGGGCGGUUUUGUGUAUUUUGCACAUCGCGUAAUUUUGUUUGCACACGGUGUAAUUUUGCUUGCAUAACGUGUAAUUUUAGAAUAAAAUUUUGUGAAUUCACACGCAUUGUGAAAAUCAAGAUACAAAACUGACCAUGAACCAUGCAACUUUUUGUGAUCAAAUCUGGCCAUGAACUGUGCAGUUCUGACGAUCAUUCCAGCCCCUUGUCCAAAUGAAGUGGCUGAAAAGCCACGUAGUCUGGUUUGCCACUGUGGUGGUAGAGUAGUCUACUGUAAUAGAAGUUAAAAACAAUCUUGAUGAGUUGACGGUGCCAUUUUGGUUAGACGGCCAUCAGCCUUGUAAUUCGCAAGAAACGAAAAAAUAAAAUAUCUUUUUUGAGACUUUAAAUUCGAAGGCCCAAAUGCCUGGAAGGAACGUUGCCUGGCAGAAACUUACGCAUCAAAUGAUUGCAUUUUUUUGGACUUUUUAUAAAAAAAUUAUUAUAGCGAUUUGAUACAUGUGAGAUAAAAAAGUGAUUGAAAAUGUGUUUACGAAAAAUGUAGCAAAUUUUGUAUAAGCCCUUAAUGGAGCAGAUUUUGUAUAAGCCAGUUCAGAAAACAAUAAUAUAUAAUCGUGUUGGCUCUUUCCCUAGAACAUGUAAAUUUAUUCAAUCUUAAAUCUUAAUGUAAUUCAAAUCGUCGAGUGGACUCAACUUCCGGUAGUUUAUAAACGUAAUCCCUCCUGUGUUGCAAGCAAGAGUCACCUACCCAUGCAAACGUAUGCACAUGUACAAAUUUAUGCCCAAAAACCCAAAAAAAAAAGAAAAGAGUCCCAUGCCAUUGCUUACGAGGAAAAAGAAAAUAAAAAAAGGGAUUCCAUCUCUAAUCCAAAUCUUCUCGGGUAUAUAAAAACUCGAACCACUGGUAUGGAUUUUGACGUGCAGAUUAGGAUGUGGAAUAGGUUUGGCAUUUUUAAUGUCCAAACCUGGCCUCUCCUGCGAUUAGAUUCACAAGCACUUGACCAAAAACAGAUUCGAUGAGCGUGGCAGCGUUGUAUCACUUAGAGUCUGGCUUUUGAUUGAAUUGGUAAGCAUAAUAACUUAACAGAGUGCAAAAAUGAAAAAUGGAGUUAUGUAUGGGAAUUCAUGAAUUAGACUACAGACACAACAAUUAUACAUUAUCUCGAUUGAAUUUCAAGAUUAUAACACGAUAUUGCUGCUAUGUACUAUAUAUUUUCCAAAAGAUUGUAGUAUCAAUAUAGUUGUUGACUUGAUCACUCAACACACGUAAAUGAAGUUGUAAAUUUUGUAUAGGUAAGCAGAUGAGAUGUUUUUUCCUCCGCGCACUUAACGUGUUCGGACCGGGUUGGGGUGUCGGGCUCAAGCCGCAGGGGAUUAGUCGGGUCCCGUAAGGAUUGAUCCGGACAUCCCUGUGUCGACAAAAAAAAAAAAAAAAAAAAAAAAAAAAAGCAGAUGAGAGGCUUGGUUGGGUGAUAUAGGUAGGAGAGAUUGUAAUUACAAGAAAAUAGAUUCAAAAUCUCUCAAAAAAAAAAUAGCAGACGAAAGUGUACUAUCUAUAUUAUAUAUAAAGGAAGAUAAGAGGGUUUGAUAUAAACAUUCUAUAUCACUUUAUGUAUUUCAAUUUUUGAACCUUUUCAAAACCUAUAAUAUAUACUAUAUACAAAGGGAGAGAAAAUAGUUUGAUGUAAACAUUUUAUGUCACUUUAUGCACUUCUAUUUUUGCUCUGAUAAAAACUAAUUUUACAUUAAUUAUCCAAACACAUGGUGUCAAGAUAGUUACCUAUAAGUAUUUCUUAAUUUACUAUUUAAACGUAUUUAUUUUCAAUGUAACUUCUCCUAAACAGUAACUAUCAACAUAAUAAUCAUUUGUCAAAACAAUUUAGAAGAUUAACUUUUCUUUACGAGUGUGUAAAAUUCAUUUGCUAUAAAUAUUGUGUAUUUUUUUAUUGCACACAUAUCGAAUGUGUAUUUAUGAGUCACUAAUAUAUAUAUUUUUUUUUUUGCUGCAAUAAUAAUUUUUGUGUAAACUAAUUUAUUCUAUUAUAAAAAGAGAGAAUCUAAAGAAACUGUAUAAUAGAGUAACAAAGUUUACGCACUAUCAAUCACUAGAAUAUGAUAACGUGGUAAUAUAUAAGUUCAUUAUGUAGCGGCUUUACUAAGGGCAAUUAUAAAAAUGCGAGGAUCACCAACAGAUUCUGAGGCCCAAUCAAUACUUACAGCCAAAAUUCAUUUCCAAGAAAAAUUCCACCAACUUCUGCGGUGCUCUCAAUUCACACCAGUAGUAGCGUAAGAGAGAGUGGCCUAGUGAAUCAUCAAUGAUCAUCGCUCUUGAUUCUGCAGUUUAUGCUAACAAAACAGAGAAAAGUCAAAAAGAUUUUACUUCCUCUGCAGUCCUGCUAGCCUUGCUCGUGUCACCACUCAGAAAAGGAAAGAGUAGCUGGUUGGUGUGAGAAUGUCGCACUCGCUGGUGCAUCCACCAUUAAUGAUCAUCAAAGCUCUAACCAGUGCCACUAGAAUUAAUUCUCACACUUACAAAAAUCCAAUCUCAUGCGGAGCCUUCCCUUGCGUUUGUCCACUCACUCACUGUCCAACCCACCAAACAGCCCCCAACAAUGAACAAACCACGUAUCCUUACCUUCCUUCAAUCCCUUUCUUUCAUAUUCCUUCUGCAAAGUGCAAAGCAAAAUCCCAUUUGAGUCGUUGACUGCUUUAAAUGGAUUCCACCUCCCAUUCUCUGCUAACUGCAUGACCACGCAAUCAGUAAAUCCCCACGUGUGCCUAUUCAUGUCUCAUGAUGUCUCCGAUUUACCUGCCACUGAAACAACUUUUGGGGCACAAUUUCUGGGAUAGGUCUCCUUUUCACAGUCAAAUUUAAUAGUAUAGUUUUCCUUUGCUUGUAUGCAGACCCACAGAGAGAAAGAAAUUUAGGAAAAAGAAGAACAGCACGAACAACAGAAUUUUAGUUCUGCAUUUUUAGCUAAAUUGAGUCAAUUAUAGGAGGGCUUUUCCAAAGAUUGAAACUUUGUUGAAGCAUUCAUUUGAAAUUUAACUGUUGUCCUUGGAAACCCAAAUUAACCGCUCACUUGUUACUCCUCCUAGUCUUAGGGCACAUUUUCCUGGGUUUAGUUCACUAUUACAGUUACUGUGCUAAUUGUGACGGUUGAAGUCUUCUGAGAUACUUCGCUUUUUGCAUACCCUCGAAAUAUAAAAAAAAAAAAGAAAAAGGAGGAAAUGCUUGUACAGUACUAAAGCUCAUUGCUUGUGCUUAAGUGGUUCAAUUCUUGGAGGGCUUUUUCAAAGAUUGAAACUUUGAAAAAUCCCAUUUGUUUUUCUGUUCUGACAUCAAGUGGGCCAUUAUAGAAGUAGCCAUUGGAUAACGAUGGAAAACUGGGGCACUCCAGACCACUUUUCUCUGCUCCUUUCACAUUCAACGACGCAAUGACCUUUUAUUUACCUUUCUGUUGGCAUUCAAUUGUUCUUUUGGUGGCAUUAAAAUUUUUCUGGUAAUAAUCCGAGAAUCUUUUAUUGGUUUUGGCAAAUUCAAUGCUUUGUUGGGAUUUGCGAAAUCCCCUCUCAUGUGGUUGUAUGCAAAUUUACAUAAACUACUAGUUUUGAUUCCCAAAAAAUAAAAAAUAAAAAAUCUGCUGCUGUAGUUCUCCAGUUUUGCUUAUCUUCUUCAUCCUAAAGCCGUAUUUUGCAAAUUGAUGUAAAUCUUAUUUCUUUUGUUUUUAUAUUGGUUCAGACUUUGUGUUAGAAUGUAUUUAGAUUGUCUUGAUUUUAUGAUUAAUUUCUCAUUCCUUCAUUGAGGUCUGCAUUUGGCCUCUUUCGGGAGAAAUGUAGGAAAGAAAGAGAUUGCUUUGUAGUGCGUCGUUUACUUGCGUUGGAAGAUUUUGCUUGAGAGACUGUGUUAAAGACAGAAUUAUGCACUUUGAAACAUGAUUUUUGGAGUCCUUCAAGAAGUGCUAAGAACAUAACUUUGUGAAUUUUUUUUCAUUGGAUUGCUUCUUAAUCUGCUGUUUAAUUGCUAGUCAUAUAUGAUUGCUGCUGUUAAUGCAUAUGAUUUGGCAUCUAUAUAAGUAUUUUCAGACCUGUUUUGGGGGACUGAAGUAAAACAUAUACAAGGUGUUAAAGGUUGCCCGUUUAGCGAUGGGAAAAUAUUAUUCAUUCCUGAGUUGCUUGAAUGUUUAUAAUCUCUUUAUUAUAUCUUAUUAUACUUCAUUUGUAUGCCAAUUACCAAAUUGUGAGGUUACAGUGAUUUCGUGCACAGCUUAAAAUUAAUUAUCAAUUGAAGAUGUCAAAUUAUUGUUUCCUGAGUUAAGUAGAUUUUAAAUUAGUUUUUGUCCCUCAUUGCAAAAUCUUGUUCAGGAUGAUGAUCCUGUGAUGUCUGCUAUAUGUCAAGGAGUUUUGGUCUUCAAGGAAGCAAAUGUAUCUAAUAUGUUACGGAUCAAUUUUUUUUUUUUUUUGGCAGUUAGAUUUUUUAAUGCUACAUAUGCUGAUGAGCUAGAUAGAUUGUCAGGGCCUGAAGGAUUGAUGGAUGACUUGUAUCUAAGUGAAGAGUUUUGGUGCACACCUUCAAUUGUAAGUGUUAUCUUGUGAUUCUAUGCUUUUGACUCGUAUCAUGAGAUGGCUAUAAAUCUUUCUUCAUCCACUUGUGUCAUGACCUGAUCUCCAUGGGUUGGUUUGUUCAAUUAGAUACUGAUGCCUUUCAGAAUUCAGAUGAUGGCAUAAUUUUGGUUGUCUCAAUUUAUAACAAGUUGCAUUGCAAGAUUGUUAGUCUUCUUAAUCUUCAGAUAAGUCUUUUCGUGUCUAGCAGUUCUUAAAUAGUCAUGGUGUCAGUUAGAAUUAGACAUGCUAAUUGAUGUUUCCAGAGUUGGUGUAGUUAAUCUUUAUACUUUGAUCUAGAAGUUGGUCUUCCAGGUCUAACUUAGUCCCGUUUAGCAGGAUUUUGGUGACGCUGGGGUGCAGCAUAGUCUCUUUCAGAUACAAAUUUCUUCCUCUCUGUCAAUGGAUGACAUAUUUUCCCGUCUUUUGACCUUAACCUCUUAUUUGACACACAAACUCAUUCGAUUCAUCAGUGAGUUCUUUGAAACAUUUAUUUCAUUGCUUCAGAUAUGCUGAUAGAGUAUCGUUGAUAUUUGUAUGUGCGCUUUACAAAGGGAAUCUGAUUCCGGUAUUUUGAAUUAAAUGUUGUGCAGAGGAUCUUGUCUUCACAGAUAUAAGACAACAUUCUGAAUAUUCACUAGUCACUUGUGAUCAAGAAGUAAGAUCUUCAUAUUAUGGUGAUUCUGGAUAUCCUGAAGGAACUUCAACAUCUUCAAGAUACUGGGAUUGCAGCAAAGGCCUUUUUGUUCCAGAAAACACAGACUCAGAAUUCAAAGAACUGACUGUCUUCAAGUUUAGAAAUUGUAGAAAACAAUUACAGUUCUGGGAGCAUCAAUGUUGUUUUUUCAAAGGGGUAUGUUACGUUUAACAGACUUCAAUGAAAGCCAUUAUGAAUAGCUGCAUCAUAUCACUUGUUUCCAUUUAUCUAUUUCAGUGUUUUCGUGAUACUCCAGAAAGGAUAUUAUUGGUGCUAAUAGAGUAUUGUGCUUGUCUGUCUAUUCUCACUGUAUAGAGCUUAUGUCUUUCUUCUACUUCUGAGGAAUCAUACCAGUAUAAUGUCAUCUGUGGUUGCAGGUUGAUGCUACCUACAUUUUUUCUCAGAUUUGCUAGGAGGUUAGGGUUGACCUCUUGGAGUCUUAUUUUGUCUUGUGUCAGAUGUGCUCAAGCCAAAGUGCUGAGGUAAAGUACAUGUUUCAUAGAUGUACAGACAGUAACUUCCAGAGUUAAGACAUAUUUUGAUGGCUAAUUGUUCUUUUAUACCCUAGAUCUGCCCUGUAAACUAUAUUGCUUUGCCUUUUUACUCGUGCCUGAAUUUCAUUCUUCUCAGGUUUAUAUCUCGGGUAAGGAGAACCGUCCAUGGAUCUUCUGAUGAUAUUGGAUGGUUGCAAAAUGACACUGAAAUGGCACCUGUGGAGGAUGGUUCAUCUAGAUUUCUAGAAUUGCUUCAAGGCAUUAGGUACUAAUUCAUUUUGUUGCUAACCAUUGUGGAUUCCAUGUAGAGAAAGUAUUGUUGAUUAUGUCUGAUAUGACACUUUUUGUGGAAACAAUAGUAAAACAAGUAGAAUUUUAAUAAAUGAGUUAUGAUUCUAUUUAGUUUCUACUAAACAAAAUUGUUUUGGGUAAAUAUGAAGUUGGUAAUUCCAGAAAUUCUUUUCUUGUUUUAAGCAUGGGUAUUAUUAUUGACUGAGAUACUUAAUAUAUAGGAUCUGCUUCAGACUUUCCUGAACUAGCCGCAUUUCUGAUGUUUCUUUGUUCCACAUCCAAGUGUAGCAAGAAAUAAGUCAGCAAAUGCAUGUCAUUAAUCUUUGUGGCAAAUUCAUGCUUCAGGUUUGAAAGAAGAGAAAACACAGUUUUAGGAGUGCUACUGAUUGCCACAGAUGUAGUAAGAAUGGGUUAGUUGUACUGUAACUUUCAUCAUGAGACCAGCUAACUAAAGUCAUGUAGUGUCUUCUCCAUAAGAAGCUUGAAUCCUGCCUGAACUAGUGAAAUACUCCACUCGAUUUCUUAUGCUCUUUAUGAUCUAGUGAAAUGCAUUGCAGUUGAUGCGUUAAGAUGUCCUCUCAUAUUGUAUAGCAGUGAAUAUGUUUUAGAAAUGAAGAUUUCUGAUAUAUUCGGUGAGAAGAUAAAAUUACAGACAUAAGAUAGGUAUGGUGCCUUUUGAGCUUCCUCCACAUGUAGAUUUCUGCACUAGGAGUGAAGUGGAUUGGGAACCAACAAAAACAAGGUACCAUAAUUGAAUCUGAAACUUUAUUGGUUUAGAUGUGCUGCAAGUUGAUGAAAGGUAAAAAGGAAACCUAAACAAAGCUUUCUUUCUUAGCUUUAAAGAAGGCCACACAAAGCACAACGCUUUUUUGGUUAUAUUUGAUAGAGUUGUAAGCAUUCUUCUCCAAGCUUUCUGAGAAGAGUUUGAAACUUGAAAAUAAAAGAGUCAUAAUCAAUGAAGUUUUGCUGCUUGUUGAUUAACUAAACCCAAAUGCUGACGAUUUUGGUGAUGAUAGUUAUGGAGAAAAUUGUUCAAUUUUAUGUUCCAAAAGUGUGUUGGUGCCUAAAUGGAUCAUUACAAAGUCAUGAGGACAGACUUUAGAAACAGAUGAGGAAACAUAGAAGAAAUCCUUUAAAAAAGGCUCACUGUAGAAUAACAAAAAGGGAAACCUUGUCUAUGAAAGAAGACUAGAAUGAAGAAAGAGAUUGGAAGACAUAGUAUUUAGGAGAAUGUGGGAGAGGAGGAUAUUAAUAGGGGAGACAAAUGUAUGAUAAUUCUUGUAUUGAAUCUCAUGAUUGUCAUAAAUUUUGACAUUAUUGUUUGAAUGUCUACACAUCAAAAAAGUUGAAGAAGGCAUACUACAUUGAACAGGGGGAGGGAGAUGUUUACAUUAUUCUGUUUUUAGCAUAAAAUGGAAGUUGAUAUGGAAAUAUGUGUAUGUGGAAUUUCAAACCUUAAACAUGGAGAGAGAGAUGGUUGUUGACAUUGAUGAAUUUUUAAGGUUCAAUCUGCAGUCAAGCAGCUUUUAUGAGGGUACGAGGAAGACUCUCAUUCACUUGAGAGAGAGAAGGCAUGAGUUUAUCACUAAUAUCUAUAAUGUGGUAGUAUGAAGUCUUAUAUUUUCAGGUGCUAAUAACUCUUAAUGGAAGGGAUAGGGCAUUAGCACGUCAAAGACUGCCACUUCAUGUGGAGAUUAUAAAAGGUUAUUGCAUGUUAGUGUCGAAUAGCCAAAAUGAGGUUACAUAAUACUUAUUUUCAUACUCUAAAUAUGUGUCACUAAUUGACCUGAUGAAUUUGGUGAAGGUUAAAUUCAAUUGAUUGUCAAAGUUUUGCAUUUAGCUUUCGAAAAGAGGCAUCCCCAAGAUGGAAGGAGCCACUAGAAUCAAACCCUGUCAGAUCAAUCAGAGUGACCCCUGCUAGAACCUCUUGGCUACAUAAUGGGGAUCUGAUUGGUCGGGAUACCUGCUUGGUAUUGAGAUCUUACCACUUCCCUAGGAUAGCUGUUACUGACAAAAAAUGGUCUUCUACACUUGUUUAUAUACUUUGCAAGAUUGAAUAUAAGAAUCUUGCUAGCGUAAGAUUUGGGAAGAGAUACAUUGUAAGUAGCCUAUACAAGCAAAGAGCCUACUUGCACUUAGAACCCCUCACUUAAUCUUGUCCUAGUUGAAGAGAUAUUACUGCAAUGCAAAGGCCUGUCACUCAAACCUUUUUUUUCUCUUCCAAUAUUUUUUUUAUUUGUGCUGAUGUGAUAUGCAUGUAUAUGAGAUUCAUGUGCAACUGCAGUCAGGACUCUGAUGAUAAGGUUUUUUAUUAAAAAAUGAAAAACCAUGGUGGAAAGUUUUAAAAGACUUAGUAAAUCAAGAUAGAAGCUAAACCUUCUUGUUUGGAAAUCCCAGUGCUUGUUGUUUUGGGAGCCUACUUAAAACAUUGUCUAGUUGUUUCUCCAUGAAUGGAGCGUCGCAUAUGUAGUUUCCGUUUGAUAAAACUGAAUCUGAAUUCUGAAGUCUGAAUUCUGAAAUGUGAAUACUGAAACAAUUAAUUUGCUGAAUUUUUAAAAGACUUGGUAAAUCAAGAUAGAAGCUAAACCUUCUUGUUUGGAAAUCCCAGUGCUUGUUGUUUUGGGAGCCUACUUAAAACAUUGUCUAGUUGUUUCUCCAUGAAUGGAGCGUCGCAUAUGUAGUUUUCGUUUGAUAAAACUGAAUCUGAAUUCUGAAGUCUGAAUUCUGAAAUCUGAAUACUAAAACAAUUAAUUUGCUGAAUUUUAAGCACUGAAAAGAAAUAUAUUAAUGUCUGAAUUUUAAUGCUAAAUCUAUUUAUACUGUUUGAUAAACAUUUAUAACUGAAUACUUAAUAAAUUAAAUUUGAUAAUUUUGCCCUUAUAUCUUUUCAUCAAAAAAAGAAAUAGAACCUAUGAUUUAAUUAGCUAAAAAUAUUAAGUAUGAAAAUGACAAUAUUUAUUUUUAAAUCAAAUUAAUAUAAAAGAUGAAUUAUAUUAUAUGAGGAGUAUGAAGAAGAAAUGAAAGUCAUUCAAAAGAGAGAAAAGAGAAAUAGAAAAUCAUUAGAUAGAGAAUAUUAGGUUGUUUAAUUAUAUAAGAAUUUUGAAUAUAAUUAAUAAACAAGGGUAAGUUUGGUAGAUAAGAUAAGGUAGUUGAAGUAAUUAUAUUAAUUCUUAUCAGAAUUAAGCAUUUAGUUAGGAUUCUUAUGCUGAAAAAAAUACACACAAGUUCAACACUAUUUAAUAAGUUCAGCAAAUGGAUUUUUAUUUAUCAAACACUCAAAACAUCUGAAUGUCUGAAAAAAUUCAGAUUCAGCACUUUUUUAUGUUAUCAAACAGGCCCGUAGAUCAAUUACUGUUUCUUCGUUAAAUUACUUGCUCACCUUUUCAGAAAUUUCUUCCAUUUCUGCUCAUAAGUUUGCGUUAUUGAGCAACAGUUUACAUGUAGAACUAUUAUGAUUGAAUGUAUAUAUCUUCUUUCCUCUCUCUUUUUUUUUAUCUCUUAGGAAUGGAGAGCACAAGCUGCCUGAUUCUUUUAUUUAUCUACUAAUUCCAGGCUUAUGGAAAUUACUUAUUCUGUGAUAUGAGUUCAUCUUCAUCUGCACGUAGUUUUGGCUUAAUAAAAUUUAUACUUUAUCUGACUUAAUGUGAAUUAUUAGGGCUUUUCAGCAAUCACGGUCCCUCAUACUUUGUCAGCACCAAGAUGGCUUUCUCUAAGAUGGGUUUAGCUUGCCACAUAGCUAAGAUCCACAGUGAGGUAUAGGGAAUUUAGGAUGUUAGACUGAAAUUUGAUGCUGAUGAAAGAAUACCUGUGCCUCACAUUCCUUGAGUUUAGGGUUCAUUGUAUGCUUUUUCUCGCAUGUUAUGCACUCAUUCUGUUACUAAAACCUUUCCCCACUGUGUAAAGGCAUCUGUGGAGAAAAACGCUUGGGAACUGAAGCACUACAUAGAGGAGCUUUACUGGGGAUCUGGCAAACGUGUGAUGCUGCUUGGUCACAGCAAGGGUGGGGUUGAUGCUGCUGCUGCUUAUCAAUAUAUUGGGAUGAUUUGGAAGACAAGGUUGCAGGACUAGCAUUCGUGCAGAGCCCUUAUGGUGGGACUCCAGUAGCAGCUGAUAUACUUCAAGAAGGUCAGAUUGCUGACAAGGAAAUCCGGAGGAUCAUGGAAUUCCUAAUAUGCAAUGUAAUUAAGGUAAAAGUUGCUCUAUCCAAAGCUUAAUGUCCCACAAAUAGUUGGUUACAAGUAAUUUAUCAUUUUGUUUGACAACACUUUGAUUGGUGAUCCUUUUUUCUUUGAUAUGUACCUUUAUCUCCAGUUUCACUUCUAGCCAUAUCAAUAUGUGGAGCUGUUAAAUCAGACAAACAUGGUUUUAGAUCUUCGUCCUUAGGAUGUGGUUAAUUUCUGCAAAACAGAUGACACUUGUACAUUUUCUCAAAUGGUUUCAUAAGAGUGUUGUCUUCUGCCAUCAGGAACUGUUGAUGGUGCAACUGUGUUAUAUCUCAAAUACUACAUUAGGUAUACAUACCAACAUUUCAUCUAUCGGGGUUAACAAGGUCUGUUGGUUAGUAUCUCAGUUUGUAUAAUUGAUUCACAGUUGAUCAAACAUGUAUAGUUAGCUGUUCCUGUUCACUACAAUUUUUAUUACGUUUGUAUUAAUCUGACAAAGGCUUUGUUGCUUCUUGUGUUGUUCUUUAUUCCCUGAGCAGUGACCCAGAAAUUCUUGUUGCAGGGUGACAUAACGGCAUUAGAGGAUCUCACAUAUGAUAAGAGGAAGGAAUUCGUGAAAAAGAACAAGCAUCCUGACAGCAUUCCUCUGAUCUCCUUCCACUCUGAAGCAAAUACUGCACUGAACUCCACAAUGUCUCAUUUCGCACAUGCUGAGAUUCCUUGGUUUCCUUUACCCCACUUUGGCACAUAUAACUCCGUGGACGCUGUGCAGGCAACAAGAACUGUGCCUGUUAUUGUUCCUGUAUCUGCUGCUUUGGCAAUUUGUGCACUUCACCUGGAACUAAGGUAUGGGGAAAAAAGUGAUGGUUUGGUAACAUGCCGUGAUGCUGAAGUUCCAGGCUCUGUUGUUGUAAAGCCUGAUAUGAAACUUGAUCAUUCUUGGAUGGUAUCCUCCUCAUGGAAAAAAAAAAACCCUUUGAGCCUGACUCUUCUGAAAUGUGUGAGGCUCUUUUAACACUUGUUGAACUUGGAAGCAAAAAAGGAUGAAGCAAGAGUUGGGAAUAACUGAAGGUUUUAAAUGAUGUAAGAUUCCAACUUUCAUUCUCAUUAAACUGAAGAAGGCAAUACUGUGUUGCUUUACGGCUGCAUGUAUGGACAUUUUCCUUGAAUGCAUGGAGUUUCUUUUUUUUUUUUUUCCUUUUCUUUUUUGUGCGUUGAUUUUAGUUAAGCCUUUAGUGAAAGUCCAAUUUAUCUACUUCCAAACUUGAAAGAUGAUUGGUAUUCAAAGGGGUUGGUGCUCUAAUUGAUGAACUGUUUAUUCAUGCUGGGGGAAAGAGUACACCAGAUGAUUUAAGGGAUAAUUUCAGAAACCUCCCUGAGGUUUUUGACAAUUUCACUCAUCUCCCUUCAGGUUUAAAUAAUUACACUAACCUCCCUUCAUGUAGUAAAAUGAUUAUGGCCUAGUUUGGCAAGUGAGUUUUUUUGGUGUUUGUAUAAAAUUUUAUUGUAAUUUAUUGUAAAAAUUAUAAAAAAAUUUUUUAAGUAUAUAAAUUUUUAGAAAUUUUGAAGUGUAUAGUUUAAAAUUUUUGAAAAUUUUUUUGAGAUUAUUGUAGUUAAAAUUUUUAAAAAACUUAUAGCAGACAAAUUUGGCCAAAAUUUUGUUUGCCAAACAAGGCCUAUAAUAUCCUUCACUUAUAAAUAAUUUCUACAAAUAAAAAAACUUUACAAUUACAACUAGUCUUUUAUUCUAAGGCAAUUGCUGUCAUACAAACUAAACUCUUGUUCUACUCUUUCUCUUACCUUUUUUCUCCUACAUCUCUUUUUUCGUAAAUCGACACACUCUCUUUUUUUUGUUUUUGUUUUUUUUAUAAGCAUUAUUGAAUUGAAAUUACAAAAUGAUAAGUUGCCAAAUCAUAUUUGUUGUCAAACUAAAUGAAAAUGAAAAAGAUGGCGGUGAUAUAGAAUACAUACAAGAAAAUAAAAAUGAGAGCUAAAAAAGGAAUGUGGAUUAAAGAAGAUUACGACAAUUGUGUAAAAAGAAAUUUUGAAAUAUGAAAACUAUAAUCAGAUUUGCCUAAAAGACAUGGAUGUAGUUUCUAGUGUUGCUUUGGUUGCUCCAUAUUGGUAUUCUUGAUAGGUUACAUUAUUUUAGUAACAACAAGGCUGAACAGUGACAUUAGUCAAUUCAAAUAUUGAAUUUGGGCAAAAAAAAAAAUGAGGCAAAAUAUUAGGUUGAAUGCAGACUUUAAUUGUUACAGUUGAUUUGCAUAGGAAGCUUUAGGGUAGCAAUAGUAGGCUGUCAAAAUUGUAAGAAUAUGGGAAUUAAGAUGAAAUAGUUUAUUGAGUUCGUUAAGGUGGUGGUUAUGUAGUUUGUAAUAGUUGUAAUGUGAAAGAAUUUAUUAGUUUGUUUUUCCCCCUUCUACGUAACAAAGGGGUAUUUUAGGAUUUUUGAGAAGAAAGUUAGCAUAUUGGGUCUAUAUUGUUACCGAAAUGCUAAUCAUAGGAGAGGUAGGUGUAAUUUUUUAAACUAGAAGGGAGCUUCCUGCAAUAGUCAAAAAUCUUAGGGGAGGUUUUUGAAAUUAUCCCAUGAUUUAAUUCUGGUUAAGUGCUUGAGCAACACUCAACACCUUUAUGAAUGGGGCCCCAUGGGCUAAGGGCCUGUUUUCAAGAUAAAUAAUGCAAGGAGGUUCUACAGAACUCCAAUUUUUGCCAAUCAAGGUGGGCCAAAAUGUCCGUUGCAUAUGAACUCUCAAGGAUGGAGGUAUAUUAUGAAAAUACGGUAUGGCCACGGUAGGUGUAUUAACGCAAACUGGGCCAAAAAAUCGGGUACAAGACGAUUGUGAUAUGGCUUAUUGCUUCACCAUGAUUUUGUUUCGAAGGGUCGAAAAACAUUAAAUGGACCCCCGAAAAUCUAAAUUUGUCAAAGCCCAUUUAUUGCUUAAUCUACUACAGUCCAAAUGACAUUGAUUAAGUAGGCCUAGUAAUUGGUCCCAGGUCAUAAACUUAAGACACUUCAGCAUGUACCAGAAAAGAAAGAAAAAAAAAAAAAAAAAAAAGGGGAAGAAGAAGAAAGCAAUGUGGGCCAUCUGAAAAUGAAACUCCGAGGCAAACCCAAUUGAAUCACUGGAAACUGUGAACUGCUGUGUGGGCCAUCUGAAAAUGAAACGCUGAGGCAAACCCAAUUGAAUCCCUGGAAACUGUGAACUGCUAUAAAAUUAGCCUUGGUUUAGGCGAUGAUGAUGACCAUUUUGCAAUACACUGACAAGAAAAGGUUACAUUCACCAUGAGGAUUCUAUCCUAAAUAAGCACCCAGAAUAAAACUUAAUCACAAUUGCACAAGUGAUUAACAUAUAUGGCACAUGAAAGGUGCGGUUCAAUUCGGAUAAGAUGGUACUAAUUUAGCUUAGCUCCUCACUUAGCUUAAUACUUAGACACGCUACCAUCUAAUUCAUUGCUUUUAAUCGGUGUCGUUUUCUUAUUUUUACUCAUCUGUUUGCUGAUAUGGGCAGACAAGGAAGGAUGUCAUGACCAAGAUACCUGAUGGCUCAAGCAAUUUGCUCAUCGGCAAACUCUUAAAAGAUCAUUAAUCGGUUCAGGAUAAUGGAUUUCACUUUUAUAGUCAGAUGCUCAACGUAGGAAUGUUGGGAGAACCAUUUUGAGGAAAAAUUACUGCCCAUCUCAUUUGCCACCAGCACUGGAACAUGCUUCAAGUUACACACAUUUGCUUAUUUUUACUAAUAAUAAUAAAAUUUGAAGCCACUUGAUUACAGCAAAUGUUGGAGUUUUGGCGAACGAGUUGGAAAAGAGUCACGGACCAGAGUACGAAGCAAAAUAGUCAUGCAGGACUGAAGGAUGAAUCAAACUACUCGAUACUUGAAUUGAACUCGGUUUGAGAAGCGCUCGUUGAAGUUUAGUUCCCUAACUAGUCAAGUGAAAUUUGAAUAGAUUUUUAUGUUCGAUGACAUUCAAAAUCAAUAGAAAGCUCAUAUAAAUUUGGAAAGAAAACAGAAAUUGACAAGGCACAUGAGAGACUUGAAAUCUUGUACGAGAAUUAAGUGGUAUGCAACAGUAAAUGUGGAAUCAAGAGGCAACCUUGCCUCAACUGAUGCCAGUACACACAUUGUACUGGCCUUAGUUUUGCUUGACGAUUCGUAGCAACCACGUCGACGGAGUUUCGGACAUGUGCAUUUGCAUCAAUAAGGGCUCAAAGUGCAGGGCUUCAGUCUUUCACGUUCGGGCCCUCAACAAUUACUGUUGCACAGCUUCAUUAUUAACACGAAUCAGCAAGAGGCCCGGAGAGCCAUGAUAAGAACGAUUGUGACAGCAACAAAAGAGAAGGGGAAAGGCAUGAAAGAAAGGAAAAAGAGUGAUUGAGCUGCUGCAGUUUUUGCCAUUUCAAUGAAAUAAAUUAAAUUUAAAUGUCGGUGGGCAGUACAUUUUCCACCUUAGUUUCUAGGCCAGCAAGAGCCUGAUAAUGAAUUGUUGCUUCAGAGAAGUAAUAAAUUCAGAACAGUUGGAAUACUUCAGAGCCAAUAAAUGACCCUUUUUACAGGCCGAUGCAAUAAGAUCACACUACUAUCAGAGUAUUUGAUCGCCAAUACUUCAGUUCAAGUGCAGCAUUAGCAAGAAACCUCGGCUUUUAACAGAGGACAAAGGUGCAGUUGGUUUUGCAACCCAUUAAUAACUCGUAUAUAAAAGACAGAAGGUGCGCAGUCGUAGUCCGGCCAGCUUUUCUAGAUUCAGAAGAUAGAUCGUGUCAUACUCGUUCGUGAAUCUGCACGUGUAAGCCCACAUUCAUAAUCAUUUCCUGCUUCGAUGAUAUGUCUUCAACUCGACAUGGAUCCGAUCCCCUCCUUUCUUUCUUUCUUUCUUUCUUUUUUUCCCCCAUGAUUGAGUUUUUAUCUUUUGAAUAAGAAGGUUUAUUGACGCCAGCACAACUCCAGCUUCAGAUCAGCAAAUGUUGCACCCGGGAUGGGAUGUACAGGAGACCCUUUUACUGCCGAACUGCUUCUCUUAAAUUCGUCAACAAAUCAAGAAGAUGUACAAGAAACCUGAAUUCCUAAGAUUUGUCCCAUCACCCAUUCUUUGUACGAGUUAAUGAGAUUGCAAGCGCAGGUGAGCUAAUGAGUUAAUUUGCCUAUUGAAUAUUAUCUAAUAAUAAGUUGGUCGUGAUCACUAUAUUAAACGAACACAAAUCAUUCGACCAGUUCCAGUACCUAAUCACUUUCCUUCCUUUAGAUUGUGAAAUAAUAAUAAUAUACUCAAACGAACCCAAAAAAAAAAAAAAACAAAAGGAUUAAUGGAUUGAAAGGUCAUGUGAGUAGCAGAAGGUGGAAUGAUUUAGAGUUUUGGGCAAUCGUUUUAUUCAAUGACAUCUACGAUCUGGAUUAGACAUUUUCAGGCUUGCAAGUAAGUUACUGGUGUCUAGGGAAUUUUCCAAAUUCGGCCAAGAAUUUCAGGCAGAAAGAAAAAUCGAAAUGGGAUGUUAACCGACUGAUAUUUCCAAUUGUGUGCAAAAAUACACAUGAAUGAAACGUCCCUGAUCAUCAUUUAUUGCCUUUUUGAUUCUCUUGCCAAACAAAUUACCUAUGUACAUCGUAUCAAUUAUCGUUUCAGAAAAAAAAAAUAUAUAUAUAUAUAUAUUUAUAUAUAUAUCGUAUCGAAGCAUUCAGGCAAAACCCAAUUGUUUUUUUCUUUCUUUCCGUGGUAACUUUCUAUUUAACUCUUCAAACCAAUCAAAAAAUGAAGAGACAAACCCCCCAAAAAAAAUAUUCAUUUAGCCAGUGUAAAAAUAAAAAAUAAAUUCACGUGCACAACAAAAUUGUAUUAAUAAAUAAUACAACAAGUGUAUGUGAGUGUAUUGAAACUUCAACUGUGCUUGCCUCAAACUCCAACACGAACCAUCUAUCCUAUUCAAUCAAACCUCAAACAUGGCCACUGAAAUGCCUCAUUCCCUCGAGUUAUUGUCAUGGUAGUUGGUUUAGAGGUAGGGGACUUGAUAUCCAAUGCCUUUGCACCAGACAAAUACAUACCUGGGUCACAGUUCACCAACGCAUUGCAAUGGUACUACCUAAUAAGUGAACAUGUGGUCAAUUGCCACAUGUCUCGUAAAAAUGUAGCCAGCACCACCACCAGCCCAUCAGCACACCGUCAGCUAUAAUUCCACCUUCGUACUCUCUGAUUUGCCACGUAUCGUCAUUUGGUCCGGUGGUCAUCACCAUAAUGAUGAUACUGGAGGUCAAGAGAUCAACCCCUGCCUCCCAUAAUUUGGCCAUAAUAUGUGGCUGGUCUUAGUUGACCAUCCCCACUGCCUCGAGCCAUAACCAAUUCAAACAUGCAUAUGUGGUAUACGGGCAAAUAAACUCCCUGGCCACCAGGGAGGAGGGUCCUUGAGCUGUGUAGGUGAGGGUGUAAAUCUCAUUUGUAACAAAAAAAAAAUUUAAGGUUAGUAUCAUGACAUUCCAUUGAUCUAGUUGGAUUCGUAUACCCACUAGUCCCUAACACAAGCCUCUUUAGGCUCCUCUUCUCAUUUGUAACAAAAAAAAAAAAAAAAAAAUUUAAGGUUAGUAUCGUGACAUUCCAUUGAUCUAGUUGGAUCUGUAUACCCACUAGUCCCUAACACAAGUCUCUUUAGGCUCCUCUUCUCCUUAAAUUAGGAUAAAAUAGAUUGUACAAUGUAUCGUUGCCGGCAAAUAUUUGGACUACUUAGACGAGUGUGUAGUUUCCCAUCAAUAGUAGAAUUAGAUCAUACAACAUAGCGGUCCCAAGUGCCUAGUAUUUUUCUCCAUACUCGCAGCUAAAAGUACCCUCCUCAGUCUCAUCAUUCGAGUUACCAUUCCAACAUUGAAGGGGUUUACGAGUGAAAACUAUUAAGAAGAUUUUGUUCCUCAUCUUGGUUCUGAGUUCCGGUAAAUAAUGUACAUUAUCAAAUAUUUCAUUUUUUGUAAAUAUAUUUUUCAAUUAUUUUUUUAUCUCGCACGCAUUAAAUCACUAUAGUAUAUUUUUUUCACAAAAACUUCAGCAAAUAGCAAUUCAAAUAGGUUUACUCGAAUUUUUUUUUUUUUUUUUGGAGUGAGGAGUUUGCCUUUUGUUGCUUUUUUUUUUUUUUUUUGUAUCGCAAUGUGGAAUUUAUUGCAUUGCUUUUCGAAAUAUCUGUGGACUACCACCCUUCAAGUUAGUAAGUUUCAGUGGGAAGAUAAAAGAAACAAGUCAAUAACCAUAUGCUCGUUUUUCCUCCCGUUCACCUCACCGCCACUAUAGCACAGGUAUGCGCUGUUCGAGGCUAACAGGUCAAAUUCAUUAGAAGCGUCUUUCAAUCCGAAAAAUUAUGCUAACUGUUUUAUGCCGUUGUUUAGUUCACAAUCACAUUCGUACUUGUGAAAAAGUAGUAGUAAACUCGUAAUUUCGUACUUAAUCGAAAAAGCAUAUAGUACUAGAUUGAACAUUGGAUCUUGCAUCCCAGUUUUCAACUCUACUAGAGUUCUAAGCAAAACGUCAUAAUAAUGUAGAUCGAAACCUUAAAAUUCCUGUAUAAAAUUACUAGCCGCAUGUGCCUCUGACGACCUCAUUCCAAGUCUUAUGGGUCCGGUGUAGGAGCUGAUGUUAAAGACGAGAAUACUCUUCAUGUUAUUUCUAGUUAUCUUUUAUGCACAACCUAACCUGCCCUUUUUCCUUUUUGUUGUUAUUGUUUACUAUUUUGGGCUGCAAUGAACGUGCGAUGUGCAUCUAAAUCCUCCCAAAUUUCCGUCUGCUGCCACAAGAACGAUAUCAAGAAUUAGUUAUCGCUUAGACUAAAAACAAAGAGAUAUAUAUGUAUAUUAUAUAGUCACCAAACAUAAUUGAAAGAAAACGAGUUUGAGAGCUGAUUCCAGCUUCUCUACUUGUAGGGAGCUAUUCAAUUUCCGGUUUUCACUCACAUGACCCCUAUUAGCACCAUUUGGUAAUGUAAGACUAGGGAUGGCAACGGGGCGGGGUUGGGGCGGGACCCCUCCCCCGUCCCCCGCCCCGUUGCCUAUUAGUUCCCCCCGUCCCCCGCCCCGUCCCCCGUGCCCCGCUUCCCCCGCAGGGACACCCGCGGGAUUAAUAAAAUUUUAUUAUAAUUAAAUUUUAAUAAAUAAUCAAGUACUAAAAUAUCAACACAUCACCAAAUUAUUAUUCAUUGUAAUUUUACAAUUGAAACUCAUAAAAACAAUCAAACAGAAGUUAUUUGAAUACAAUCCAAUAUGAUGAAAUAAAUAUAACUAAAAUAGUCAAAUUUUCACUUUUAGUACAAAUGCAAUCACUAAUUCAUCAUUGUGUUUGUGCUUUUUUUUUGAGAAAAAAAUGUUAUUCUAUUAAGUGUAAUUAGAAAUUUAGUAUAAAUGUAUUAGUAAAUUUAGUAUAACUAAUUAAUAAAUUCUAUUAGUAGACAUGUAUAAUUAUUCAUAUAAUUGAUAAUAUCAAUUAUAUUACAUAAACUAAUAUACAUUAUAUAAUACAUCUAACUAAUAAUAUCAUUAUCAUAAGUUUAUAACUAAUUAACUUACAUAUAAUAUAUAGUCAUUUAUAUAUAUAUAUAUAUAUAUUUUUUUUUUUUUUGCCGGUGGCGGAGCGGGGGAUGGGGCGGGGGAGUAUACCCCCGCCCCCCGCCCCGUUUCUAAGCGGGGGGAAAAAAUUCCCCCCCGCCCCCGCCCCGUGAGCCCCCCGCGGGCACCCGCCCCCAUUGCCAUCCCUAUGUAAGACGUUAACCAGAGACGAAACUACACAUUUGAUUCUCGAGCAUUUCUAAGCAGCAACGCUAAUCUGCUAAAUGUAUUACUCAAUCAUUUUUUUAAAAUUUUAUAUACUUUAAAAUAAAGAGUAAAUCUUAUAUACACUGUCCAGUAUAUACACUAUCACGAUUGGAUGAAUGACACACGUGAGUAAAAUUUAAAUUUCAAAUUCAAAUUUUAUACAUGUGUCAAAUAUCUAACGAUGAUAAUGUAUAAACUGACAGUGUAUACAAGAUUAAUCCUAAAAUAAAUUACGUGUAAAAGCGUGUAAAAGGGCUCGAGUCACUUCUUGAGAGACACCUGAAUUAGCAUAUAUUUUUAUCUAGUUGCCCUUCCCGCAUGAUCGACCAUAUUGUUUCGUUCUCUUUUUACGUCAUAUUUGAUCGACCAUAUGGUACGUCAUAUUUUUAUUACCACCAAAAAUACAUUUGAUGCUUAAAUAAGAAGUAGUACUGUAGUUAGUUUAUUUAAUUGAUUUAAUUUCCGCCCCAAAGUGAUUCCACAACGGGUGAAGAGAACGGAGCAGAGAGAUUAAAUAGAACCAUUUUGGGUCCUCCAACAUAUGGGCACUUGUCGAUGGUUUGCAAAGUGUGGACCGAAGAAGUAAUGAAUUUAAUCAGCUACAGGAAGAGAUACAAAGACAACUCACGUUAAAGGAGCUGGUCGUACAACAGAUGCUUCUACUUCCACCACCUUGUUCUCUCUCAAGUUUCCUUGGCUCAAAUUGAUUGGCACACUGAGCCCAGGCCACUAAAAUUUGUGUCAAUGUCAAUUCUUCCCUCAUCAUCACUACAUUCGAAUAUCUAUGGGACGUGCCUUCAUUUAAGCUGCUGCCUAUAGCGGAUUCCGCUAUAGUAGUAGUAGUAGUACUACUACUAUUUAUUGAGAUACUACCUAAUUUCAUGCUAGUACUUCGCACCUAAUUGCCAUCAACCCGUCAGGGCAUCUUCUUUCUCCGUUCUGAUCAGAUUGCAUUGCGUAUGAACGGGGACGAUUUGCUUUGGUGCUCUGGUUGGUUAAAAUGCGCUUUGCCCAUAGAGGCAUGCUACUCUUCCAAAUUUCUCUCUAAAUAAACAGCCAUACUAACUAAUCCAUGUGGCUUCUUUUCCCACCUUUUCAAUGAUGGAGCCAAGGGGGGUUGAGGGGGGCAUGCCCCCUAAGUUUUGAAAUUUUUAAUUCAUAGUAUGUAAAUAUAUGCAUAAGACAAAGUUGGCCUCUCCUAACUUUUUACAAUUUUAGUUUAUAUUAUGAGAGCUAUGUGUGUGUGUGUGUGUGUGUGUAUGAAUUAGCCACAUUUGAUUUAAUUUUUUCUUCAAAAAAAGUUAUUUAUUUUUUAUUGUGCUAAUUAUUUAACAUUCAAAAAAUUAAACAUAUAAUUUCAUGAUCCAUAGUAAAUUAACCCAAUUUGAUAUAUUAUAAUAAAAGACUCAAUUCAUAAUUAUGAAUGGGCUAAAAUAAAAAUAAUUACUUUAUUGGUUCAUAUACAAAUAUACAACUUAGCCUAAUUGAUAAAAAAAAUUAAAAUUAGUGAUCUAUCCUCUUGUUGACCCAUAUACAAAUAUACAAAUAAUUACUUGAAGGCUUGGUGAAGACAAGAAAUUGAGUGAUCUAUCAUGUUGUUGAUAGAUUGAUUACAUUUGUUUUCACUCUUUAUGUAUCAACUACAACUAUAGAACAGACAUUUUCAAUUAUAAAAAUAAUCAAAACAAAACUGCAAAACAAGAUAAAAGAUAAUUUCUUGAAUGAUUGUCUAAUAAUAUACAUAAAAAAGGGAAGUUGUUCAAAAAUUUAGCACUGAUUCAAUUAUAGAUGAAUUUAGUUAUAGAAAAUAAUGUAAAGCUCAAUUUACUUUUAAGAAAAGAGGUUGAAAUUUCAAGGUGUGCGAACAUAACUUUUAUCCUUUUUUUAAUUGAAAAUAGUUAUAUUUAUAUUGCACAGUUAUAUUUUUGUUUUUGCACAAGUGACGUAUUGGAUCAUCUUCUCAUAAUGUACAAUUUGGAUAGUUUGUAAUGUUAUAAGAUAUUUAAUCAAAGGUUAUUUCUUGUUCUAAUUUUUGUUAUGACUAUGCUUCAUAUUUAUGAAAUAGACAUACCUUUAUAAUUAAAUUUAAUAUUUGAUAUUUUAAGAUGUCAUAUAUUUAAAUCGAUGAAAAUUAUUUUGAAUAUAACAUAUUAAGAUAAUUUUGUUCAAAAAAAUUUUGGCCCCCCUCCCAAGGAAAGAAUCCUGGCUUCGUUCUAUAGUCUAUAGAAUGGACAUUUUCAAUUAUAAAGAUAAUCAAAACGAAACUCCAAAACAAGAUAAAAGAUAAUUUCUUGAAUGAUUGUCUAACAUUGUACAUAAAAGAAGGAAGUUGUUCAAAAAUUUACUAUUGAUUCAAUUAUAGAUGAAUUUAGUUCUAUGAAAGAACGUAAAGCUCAACUUACGUUUAAUAAAAGAGGAUGAAAUUUCAAGACAUGUUAACAUAAUUUUUAUCUCUUUUUAAUUGAAAAUAGUUAUAUUUAUAUUGCAUAGUUAUAUUUUUGUUUUUGCACAAGUGACAUAUUGGAGCAUUUUCUCAUAAUGUGCAACUUAAGUGGUUUGUGAUGUUAUAAGAUAUUUAAUCAAAGGUUAUUUAUUGUCUUAAUUUUAGUUAUGACUAUGCUACAUAUUUAUGAAAUAGACAUAUCUUUAUAAUUAAAGUUAAUAUUUGAUAUUUUAAGAUGCCAUAUAUUUAAAUAGAUGAAAAUUAUUUUGAACAUAACAUAUUAAAAUAAUUUUGUUCGAAAAAAUUUUGGCCCCCUCCCAAAGAAAAAAUCCUGGCUCCGUCACUGCACCUUUUUUCUCUUGUGUGGAACUCAUUAGGAACAUGUUUAGCAACCAAUCUCACUUGAUUAUCGUGAUGAGAAGCAAUCAAGAACAGGAAAACUAAAGAAUGUGUUUGGAUAGGAAAUUAUUUGAAUUAAUUAUUGCAUCACGACACUCUUUGUAAUGUGUUGUAUGUAAGAUAAAAAGAUAGUUGAAAUAAAUUAAAAAAAAUUGAUUGAAAAAUUAACUUGUGAUGCAAGCAAAAAUGUUUUGUUUUUAAUUUUCUUGAAGCACGCUUUCCAAUCAGCAAAACUGGCUCCUUGGUCUCUAAAUUGAUUGGGAAUUAGUAACACUCUAAAAAUUUUUGAAGCAUGUUGUAACACUCUAAAAAUUUAAAUGAAUAGAAGUACUAACUAAGAGGGGAAAAAAAAAAACUCAUCUCUUUCUCUUUGAUAGAUGGUUGACAGCCCGAAACAACCAUUACAUUUUAUUUUUCCUUUUUGGCAAACCAUUAGGUAGGUCAUUUUAAUAAAAAAAAAAAAAUGGAGUAUCAAUGCUACGAAGCUCUCAUGGGAACCCAUCUCAUUUUGGCAAGUUAUCUUUGGUUCCUGCCCUCCCUCUUUAAUGUGCUUAUGGGCCUCAUUAAUAUCUCAUCGCGUGAAGACUGUCAGUAAUUUUUUUUUUUAUUACUGUUAAUUCCGUAGUUACUCUCCUCCGUAAGAUUGAAAAGGAAUUCAAUAUGGUUAGAAUCUCAAUAGAGCGACCGUCGCCAUGCACCGUCAGAGAAACAGGUAAAAGCAUAUGGAAGUCAUAUUUAGUUCACCAUAUUGGUUCAAUACAUAUAAUAUAUUAUCUUAUUGUUGGACCAUUGAUGAAGGUCAAAAUUUAAGUAUUCUUAUUGGGACCAAGUGGGUUCAGGACUAUUCUAGUCUAUUUUUGAAAACAGCAAUCCAAUUCAUGGCGUGCCACGGUCUUUGAGAUUCGGCUUUCUUUGUUUGCUUUUCUAUUUUCCCUUGCACCAUUAAGCAUUGGAACAACACGAAAUUUUAAAAAGAAAAAAAAUAAAAUAUAUGUGUGUGUGUGUAGUGAUUAAACUACGCGUUUAAGAAAUAGUAAAAGGGUUACUGCCCUUUAGUUUGCAACCUUACCUCUUGUCCCAGACACAUCCAACCGUCAAUUUUACCAGACACUACUGAUUGUGGACUAGAAAAAGUGAUGUUAACCUUCUUUUAACUUUUAUUAAAAAUUGGCUUGUUACUCCAUAUUUAUAUGGACCAAAAAUAAAGUAAAAUUAGGGGGGGGGGGGGGAAAUCCAGAAGAAAAGAAAAUAGUUAUGAAAAAUUUAUUUUAUCUUUGGUAUAUGUUCAUGUAUUUUUGGAACAAAAAGAAAAGAAAAUAACUUGCAUUUAAAUUCCAAAAAAAAAACUAUUAUAUGCUACUCUGUUUGGAUUGUAAAUUAUUUGAGAUAUUUUUACUGUAGCACUUUUUGUGAUGUGAUGUCUGUGAGAUAAAAAGGUAAUUGGGAAGAUAAAAAGGUACAUUGAAAAUUGUAAUGGUUAUGUAAGCAAAUAAAUUUUGGCUAAUAAAUCUCUAUCCAAACAAACCCACUUAAGUAUUAUUGCUAUUCAAUCCAAACACUAACCAAUAAGUGUUAGGUGGGCCAUUAGGUAAAUUACAAGAUGCAAUCAGGGUCCCUAACCCAUUGGCUCAUUUGAGCCUGCCCUCAGUAUGGAUUAGAGCAAGAGUAGCGCAAGAGGUGGUCGGAAAAAAAAAAAUCAAUUCAAACACUUUUUUUUUUUAGGAUUAGUUUCAUUCUGCAUCUUUCAGCUGUUUUUAGAUUUCCACAUUUAAAACUGAGGCACUUUAGUUUCUAAAAUAUAAAAUUUGUCCAAUUUAAAUGAAAUUAUUGGCGGGAGUUGGAUAGAUUAUAUAAAAUCUGCCCAAAUUUAAGUGAAAUUAUUGGCGAGAGAUGGGCAGAUUCUAUAGCAUAGAAACUAACGUGUCUUGCUUUGAAAUUUAAAGACAAAAAUGAGAAUUUGGGUACAGUUGAAGGAUGUAAAGUAAAACUUACGAACCGUAGACUGUAGACUGCAGAAGAGUCAUAUUUGCAUCACUCCUACUAGUAGGCCAAGUACUAUGAAAGAACGCUGGGGACGAAACCAAGAAGUAAGUGGCUGAAUUUGGUCAAUACAGCUGUGGGAAGUAGAACUCGUGCAUUGGUAUUUGACUAUUGCAAAGUUAUUUUCAACCAUUCAAGAGUCUCUCUAAUCAGCAGUGAGUCGAGUGCGUAAACUCAUCGCUUGCUUGCAUUUUAAGCCUCCCCACCUUUCUCAACUCAGACUUCCCUUCUCAGUUCUCUCUCUCUCUCUCUCUCUCUCUCUCAUCUAUUUCUUUCUUUUUUGGUUUUAAUCCUCCAACUCCUUAGCACUUUCCCCGCCCAAUUUGAUGCAGCUUAUAUUAAACAUUAAUUUUUACGCCAAAUACAGUACUCUGCUCUCCUCUGUCUGUGUGCUCCGUCAUUAAGAAAAUGAUGGAGUAAAAUGCUGGGUCGGUCAUUUGAGGGCCAUAGUGAAGGCCCCCCCCCCCCCCCAAAAACAAAAACUCUCUUCUCUCUUCCUCUGCCUCCCAAAAAGAAAAGCGAAAAACAUAAAAUAUAAACACUGCUCCUCCCUACUCUCCUUUAUUAAUAUAGGUUAGACACACACACAUAUAAAUAUCACAUUCCCUUUGAUCAAUUCCCCCCGCCCAUCAAACUAAAUGCCCGGUUCCAUAUAUUCUAAUUCCUAUUCAUCUUCAUUUUGAUGAUCUUCUCUUCUCACCUAAACACCCUGCAUCACCAGUCACAAUUCUGACCAUCCCCUCCCCCUCCCCCUCCUCUCCCCAAAACACAAGAAAAAGAAAGGAAAAAAAAAAAGAGAAGAGCCCAUCUCUCUUUUUAUAGCCUAGUUUCAUUAAAUAGGCUUCACUGUUUGCUGCUGCAGCACUGGUGGAGCAGAUCCCUCUUCAGAUCCUCCCUCUCAAAUAAUGGCUGACCCUCCCCACUCUGAAACUGAAUCAAGCAGCCAUUCAGGCACACUUGAUUCCGCUCACAUGCAUCACCACCGCAAACGCGGCAGAGAUGACAAUAAUACCACCACCACCACCACCACCACUUCCGCUGCCAGCAGAAGCAAUGAUGAUAAUGAUACCCAUCGUUCCAGUAAGAACAGCAAUAUUAGAAGUCAGACUGGGAACAACAGCAACAACAACAAUAAUAAUAAUAGCAGCAGCAAGCAUCCCGUGUAUAGAGGUGUCAGGAUGCGGGCUUGGGGAAAAUGGGUUUCGGAAAUCCGCGAGCCCAAGAAGAAGUCUCGGAUCUGGUUGGGCACUUUCGCCUGCCCCGAAAUGGCUGCCCGGGCCCACGACGUCGCGGCUCUCUCCAUCAAGGGCAAUUCUGCCAUCCUCAACUUCCCGGAGCUCGCGGGUUCCUUGCCUCGACCCGCCACGAGCUCCCCGCCUGACGUCCAGGCUGCUGCCUUAAAAGCCGCUCAAAUGGAUUUCGAAAUGGACGGACGCGCUAAACCCGGGGAUGAGUCUUCCCAUUCCCAGUCGUCCUCGUCCUCGUCCUCUCGGGUGAUGACGCCAUGCCUGUCCUCGAUGACGUCAUCAUCCUGCUCGUCCUCAUUGCUCUCCAGCGUCACGUCAUCAUCACCGUCCUCGUGCACGGAGGAGGUGUCCACGGCUGCGCAGGAGUCGGAGGCAGCGGCGGCGGAGGAGCUGUGCGAGAUAGUCGAGCUGCCGAGCCUGGGGGCGAGCUACGACUCGGUGGAGUCGGCCCGGGAGGAGUUGGUUUUCAUGGACUCCGUAGAUAACAUGGGAUGGGACUACGGUCACCCGUGGUUGCAUGGCAGUGUGGAAACCUAUGGAUAUUUUGGGGAAAACCACGCGGGAUUAAUGGGAAUGGCAGAAGUUGAUAAUCCUGUCGUUUCAGGAAGCUUUGAAGGCUUGUUAUGGCAGCUGCACUAGUGAAGAAGACAAGGGAUGCCGCUGCUGUUCUUGAGUAAUUAAUUCAAGCAAAUUGAUGGUGUGUUCAGUUUAUGGUUCUUAUUUUUUGGGACCUUUUUUUUUUUGGGGUUGAGUUUUGCUCUGUUAAUUUAUGAUGAAAACUCUCUUUAUUUUCAUGGAGUAAAUCUUUUUCCGUGGCUUGGGAAAAAAAAUUAUCAUAGUAGGUCUAGUAGCAAUAAAUGUAUUAUUAUACCUUUCUUGCAGCUCAAGUUCUUGCUGGUUACUUCAAAGUCGAAAGCACGAAGCAGUAGUAGUGGUAGUUUAGUAGCAGUAGCAGGAUUUUGUCUUCUUUGACACUCAGCCUAUAUGAUUGUAUGGGUGAUACGUUGAUGAUCAGAGAGAAAAAUAAAAGGAGAGAAAAGAAGGCAUCGUGAACGUUUUGUUUCUUGGUCCAGCUCCUUCCUCGCAUAAAUUAAAAAGGGUUGAGUUCAUUUGGUUUAGUCCUCUGUGUGUGUGUGUCUCUCUCUCUCUCUCUCUCUUCAAUGAUUAUUAUUACGGGAGCAGCAGCAUAUGUAUAGACUGCUUUACAAACCAGAAGAAGAAAAGAAAGGGGCAUCAUUGACUACUACUUUAUUAUUGGCCCAUCGCUGUUUAAAAAGAGAUUGCUCCGUAUCCUUGCAUUAGUCUGCUCAAUGAGGUAAGUUCUACGUACUUUUCGUUGCAUAAUUUAAGAAUUGACGAUCCAACCGAGUAUAUAAUUUUUUUUUUCUUUUUACCUUUGCUCUUUUUUUUUUUUCCAAUUUUCAAUGAGGGUUUUUUUUGGCCCCUUCGUACUGGUCUUUUGACGGUUCAAUCAAAUUCCGUGUCCCUCUUUCUAGCUUUUCGUUUUAUUCUUUAGCUUCUCUUGUCCAUGAAACUAACGAGGAAAAGCCAUGGACUUCCAAAAAUUGGGAUGCCGAAGACUGCCCCUAAAAUUAAAGUCGCUUCGCCGGGGCUGUCGCCGUGCACAAACAAAAUUGCACUCGUCUUUUUUCGUUGAUCUUCUAUUUGCUAAUUAAAGAAUGACCCAAUUUCUUAUAGUAGUAUUCCGUCAUCAUGAUUGUCAUUGUUGUUGUCUUUAUUGGUACCAUAAACUAUUAGUACAAUACAACAACAUUUAUCGGUGCCAUUUCGCAAAUGGGGUGCCACCAAAGCAGUAACUGCCCAGCGUAUAUGGUAGUGGUAGCUUAAUUUAGCUUUAUCUAGACUAGACUCUCUAUAGAGUGAGCAGCGGCUGCAAAUAGAUAAUUACACGGCGAUGAAGAAAAUUUUGGAGGAGGCAAAGUUGAUGAAAUAGGUGGAGUUUUGGGGGGCCUGAGAGGGACGGGCAGGGUAACCCCCCGCAAAGAGACGGAUGCUUGAAUUGAAUGGUCGACUGGUUUUGGUAAAGGGAUCCUGGCCAGUUUGACCCUGCAACUAUGCUUAAUACUACUAACAUUUUUCUCGAGUACAAACAGUUUGGCUUACACCCUGCCUAGAGUGAAAGACGCGAGUUUGGCUAGGAUUGAAUAAAGGAAAAAGAACUCAAAAAAAAUCAACUAGCUACCAUUUAGCAAAAUUUGGUGGGUCUUUUAGGGACUUGCUGGAUCGAUUUUCAAGUGAAAAGCAGAAGAGGAUGACUAGGUCUAGGUGGGGUGAUUUUUUUCUCUGUGUUUGUGAGGAGUUGGGCAAAAUUGACGUUGAUUUUGACACCUCAGCCAGCAUAGGAAAAACAGCUUUCAUCCAGCUAUCCUUGCUUUUAUGUCCUAUUUUUAUAUCCUUCUUGUUAUUUCACAAACACGAUUCAUUUCAUUCAUUCAUGCCGUGCCGUGCCCUGCCUGCAUGGGUCUACAUUACAUAUACCCUCCUCUUUUUUUUUUUCCCUCUUUUAAUAAAAAAAUUUGAAUAGAUUUAAUUCGGAUCAUCAUUGCUGUAUUACGUGUCAGGACAUGCUUUCAAAAUCACGCAUCACUUACAAUAAUUUUUACCAAAAAAGCUAACAAUCCUCACGUCGAUACCGGAUUUAAAUACUCAAAUUUUUUUUUGAAAAAAUAAAAGUGAUUCAUGUUUUGUUCUUAUCAAUUAAAUCAACUAGUGCCUUCGUCCUCUUUUUUGGUUUACUUUUACCCUCUCUCCCACUCUUUAAGCAGUUUCCUCUUUUCCUUGGAUGAGUGAAAAGAAACUUGCAAGCAGCGUUCCACCAUGUGUACAAAUAGAAGCUAGUAAUAAUAAUAAUAUAUUUUCACACCAAAAAGCAAAACGUAGAAAAAUCGUUGGGCUUUUUCACGUGUUUUGAAUAAAUUAACGAAUAAAUUUGUGUAUCCGUCGAAAAUCAAAUAAAUUGAUAACGUUGCAGCGUCGAUCUUAUGCGACUAGUAGGGUUAGAAGUUUGGAGCUUAUUCGAACUACUGAAUUAGUUUCUCAAAAGAGAAAGAAACCAAGAACUUAUCAAACAACCAAAUUAACGUCCUCUGAAAAUGUCACUUUAUCUUUUGAGGGGCAACGACGGGGAAACAGAUUAAUACAAUGAACUCUAGAACGUGUUUUUGCAUUUCUCAAUACUGAAAGCUGGAAUCAGAUUUACCCGAAACUCGGUCAAAGCCAAAGAAAAUGAUUAGAAAAAAAAUAUAUAUAUAUAUAUAUAUGAACUAAGUGGAAUCAGAUUCAUUCUAGCGAUGCUGGUUAAUACGGGACUAAAUUAUUAUUAGAAGAGAUUUGAGCAGAAUUUGAUGGAUUACGGAUGUUAGACAGCCUCAUUCCUUCAACUACCCUCGACAAAUCACGCCUCUCCAAUCCUCAAGAUCAUUGCCCUAUUAUUAUACUUUUACUAUUGAAAAAAAAAUAUGCACGCAUGCCAUGGAUUUCUCAAUGGUCCAACGCAUUUGCGGUCACACAAUAUUUUAAUCAGUACAAGCCUAUUGAAGAAAAUGCUUAAGGAGAUAAUAGUAGUGUGGCUAAAAUACUCAUGCUUGGAUUGCAUUUUUUUGGGUAGAAAAAUUACUGUAACGAUUUAAUAUAUGUGAGGUAAAAAGGUGAUUGAAAAAUAUAUUCACGAAAAAUAUAAUAAAUUUUCUUUGAAAAAACAUAGCAAUCUAGAAAUUGUUUGAAAAAUUGCUUUCCAAACCAAAAAAAAAAAAAAAAAGGCUAUUAAUAAAAUGAGGCUGUAGACUAAGAAGAAGAACAUGACAAAACAGUAAAUUUAUAAUUAUGAUUAAUAGUAGAAGUGUGUCUUGGAAGGUUGUUGGAGACUUUUGGAGUUUUUAGUUGUAAAGAUAUGCAGUUGCCCAAAUCUAAACCAAACAUAUGUUCAAGUAUUAACGAAUCUCGGCUUAAUUUAUGGUUCUGAUUAAAGACCUUCUAAAUUUGACACGUAAUAAUCCAGUGUUGCAUUUUUUUUAUUUUUAUUUUUAUUUUUACCCAGAAAUCGUGAUGGAGGAGGAGGAGGAGGAGGAGAUUAAAAAGAAUGGACAACUUGUGGAUGAAUCGUGCUUGGUGGUUGAAUCGAUACGAAAGCGUACUGAACCAACCAAAGUAAAAGAAAAACCAAAAAAAGAAGAUAUUUUGAGAAGGUAAGGCAUGUUUUUGCUUACCUACCACCAUCUAUUUAAAGCAAAUUAAAGAAUUUUCUUUUCUUCCCACAUAUAUAUAUAUAUAUAUAUAUAUUUUUUUUUUCGUUAUACAAUUCAUCCUGGACACGCAAAAUUGACACAUGGAUUCCACUUUGAACAUGUUAAAUAAGUACGAGUUGAAAAAGAAAAAGAAAAAACUGAUAGUACUACAGAAAAGCCAGUGUAUAAAUUUCAAAUCAAGCCGUAUAAAUAAAUUAACCUGUAGUUUGUACCACAUUUCCAGACUGUUUUAUGGGCAAGAGCAAUAAAACUCGAUUCUUGGCCCGGCACAUCAGGUCAAGCUAAUAAACCUGUAACAAGGAAAUGCCUCCUAGCUCUAUUCUAUACACAUUUUGAAUGCUCGCCCGACCAACAACAAGAUUUGCUCAGUUUCCGACCCAAAUUCCGUCUUCUGGCUUUGCUCAGUUGCGCCACCCAUUUUCAGAGACUGUGAAGUCAAACUUUUGCGACACCAUCCCAUCACCGCGACAGCUAUAAGCCUGUAAGCUGAGAUGAUGUCGGAACAAGUCCAAAGGAAGGAAGACAGCCAAAUACUGCACUUUACCUUUAAUUAUGGCUGCUACUUUCAAUACGCUUUCUCCCACAGAUUCAUUCGUUAGACUCUUCUUCGUCCUCUUAAAUUAGAUUAAAAUAAAUUAUAUAAAUAUUAUUGUUGCAAUAAAUUUAAAAAAAAAAAGAAAAAGAAAAAGAGUACUGCACUUGACUAUGGUACGUAUAUGGUGAGUUUCUUCACUUCUUUGCUAGUGGCGUGCAGUACUUCUUUAAGGGGACAUUACGUGAAAUUCGUAACAGCGACAGGAUAGCUUAACAUGAUGGUCUGGAUUAUUAAAGUUUUGUUUGGAAACAGUAGUGAAAUGUGUAGAUCUACUAGCUACGGGUUUUUUUCUUUUUUGCCACAGGGAACCGCUACAGGGUUUUUUUUUUUUUUUUUGGUAUAUCGAAGAAAAAAAAAAGAAAAAAAAAUCAAAGCAAAUAAAUUGGUAAAUAAGCCAACUUUCGUCCAAGUACCCUUUACUAGGGGUGGCAAUUCGGGUCCAAAUCAGGUUGGCGGGUCGGGUUCGGGUCAACCCGCCAGAAAAUCUGUUGACCCGAACCCGACCCGCCAACCCGUGACGGGUCAGGUAUGCUGACCCGAACCCGAAAAUUUCAGGUUGACGGGUUGGCGGGUCGACCCGAAAUGACCCGAAACUUAAUUUUAAUUUAUUAAUUUAUCACUGUAAUUUCUAAUAAAAUCAAUUUCUCACAAAACUAAUUACAUAAUCAAGUAAUAAAAAUUUAAAUAAGUAAUUCCAAACCAAAUCUAAAAUAAAUUAAAUACCGUAAAAGUGUUUUAUCCCAAACAAAAUAUAAAAUAAAUUAAAACAGUAUAAAAGUAAAAAAUAAUAUAAUAUAUUAUUUGUCCAAAUAAAAUAAUUUCAACUUCACACAAAUUAAAUAAAUUCAUUUAUGAUUAAGUAAUUAAUGCCUUUGAAAAAAAGAAUAACUUAGGUUAGUUAGAUAAAAUUAUUUUUAUAUUUAUUAAAUUAUUUUUAAUUCGUAAACGGGUCAUAUCGGGUCAUAUCAGGUCACCACAGGUUGACCCGAAAUCGACAUGUUUUCUUUUCGAGUUCAUCGGGUCCAACCCGAUUCUGACCCGAAUUCCCAAAACCUCAACCCAAACCCAUUAAUUUCGUGUUAGGUUCGUGUCGUGUUUUCAGGUCGUGUCGAAAAUUGCCACCCCUACCCUUUACCUCCCACAGAAUAAAAUACAGGUAAUUAACAGAUUUUUUUUUCGAUCUUUAUUUUUAUUUAACCAUGAUUACCUUGAAAUUACAAUUUCAAUACUAUUUAAGGACAUGUCGUGAAGUAUUAUUAUUAGCUAAUGCUUUCCUAAUUACGGCAUAUUCUUAAGGUCCAAGAUAGUCCUAUAAUUAUUAAAAUUCAUAUUUGUUUGGAUUGUGGUUUAUUCGUCAAAAUAUAUUUGCUUAUACCAUCAUUAUAAUUUUCAACGCACCUUUUUAUCUUUUCAAUUACAUUUUUAUCUCACAUACAUCAAAUCACAAAAAGUGCUACAGUAAAAAUAUCUCUAAUAAUUCACAAUCCAAACAAAAUGACUUAUUAUUGCCGCAUGAUUGAGUUAUUCACUUCAUAUAUAGAUAAUACUAUAGUAUAUUAUUAGCUAAAAGUAGCAGUAAUAAUUUGUACUUACUACAGACUAUAUAACACAGCGACGGCUCGGGCCCAAUCAAAACAUGUAGUCAUAUUAAUCCCUAACCAUACAAUCAAAACAUGUAGUCAUAUUAAUCCCUAACCGUACAAUUAAGUCCAUUAUUGCUCAAGCUAGAGUUGACCUUGUUAUUAAUCAGCCGGCUAUUCAUCAAGAUUCAACAUUCAUCAUCUCUUCGAUCAAGUAUUUCUUUCCUAUAUUAUAUAUACAUCUGAGAAGAUGAAAAGGCAAUAAUAAUAAUAAUCAUAAUAAUAUUUCCUGAAAAUUCAUUGGCUUUUUUUUUUUUUUAUAAUGUUUUAUUCUUCGCACUCAUGCGAAAUGAAGACCAUAAUUUGACCUUUCUUUAUCUACUCCUGUUUGAUACUCCCUCCCUUUUUUAUAACCGACGUUUAAGGAAUUUGCUCUUAAGUACUUUUAUCUGUCGUUGUAUUAUCCCCAUGCAGCAUUAAUUAUUUUUUCACAAUUUUACCCUUUUAUCUCUCCUUACCAAUACAAGGCGCUUAAUUACUACUCCUAGUAAUUAUUACUUCUCUCUUUGCUUUUGACCUAGUAAAACAGCACCAUUUAAUACUCUAAUGAGAGAAAACAUGAGUGAAUUGGACAAUUAAUGAGGGUACAAAAGGAAAGUAGUGUAUAGAUUUAAACAAUGAAAAACUUUUCUUAAUUGGUGUGCAAAACCUUAAACGUCAGUUAUAAAAAAAGGGAGGGAGUAUUUAUUACACAUAACUGCGGUAAUUAGGAAGUUAGUGCAGAUUACUCUUAAUGAGGAAAGCACUUAAGCUUAAUCACGUGAGUGCUAAAUAUUAUUAUUGUUAUUAGUAUUGUGAUUUGGAUUCUGACUACAGCGCAAACAGUUGAAACAUGUCAUUUUCAGUAACAUGUUAGUAUAAAUGACAACGGUUUAGAGUCAAAAUCAAGCCACGACAAAUCAUGUAGCAUUAGUUAUUAUCACUCUAAUGCAUUCUGGACAUCGAUUUUAGAACUAAUUCCGACCUUAACUAUUAGUAUAUUAUCUUCAAACUUUCACUUCCUACAUACGCGGGACGAACAGCAUUUCGAAGCGCUGAAAUGGAGCCUUUAUUAUUUCCAUUUCCAUUUAUUAAAGGAGCGAAAGAGAACUGAGAAUAAAGUACACUAAACAAUAAAUAAAUAAAAUCGGGUAGUAAAUGAAAAAAUUUGACGAGAUUUAUCACUUCACGGGUAUAAUUUCUCAAGUAUCCUUUAGCAAUUAGGACCAAUUUUGUAUUUUACUGCUGGAAUCUUAGCAUGUAACAUUAUUGGUUGCUCGCUUGUAUGGCGGAUAUUCGUGGUCUGUUAACAGCAUUUCCGAGGUUAAUAAGUUUUCGUAUCAAGAGCAUCUAAUGCCUGAACGGUUACUUCACUUUAAACAAAUUGAACAUGGUUGUCGUCGAAAACAUCAAAUCCAUACGCCAACUUCAGGUAUGGUUCCUUACAAGUCACUUUCACAAAUAAACAUUUCCUUGAACAAAACAAAUAGUAGCCAUUACUAAAGGUUACUCAAUUGUGGUUAUUGGUUUUCUAAAACAUAAUCUUACAAAGUUUAGGAGGGUAUGAAUCAAGUGUGAUAAAAAUCCUCGGAUCAAAAUCUCAACUUUAGCUUCAAAGUGGCAAGAAGGAACAUAUCCGUCCGUAGAACAAAGUUCAAGGACUUUUUGUUCUACGGAUUUGAACGGAUUUCUAAAAGUUUAAGAACUAUAAAAACCCUCAUGAAAGAAUAAUGAAUUUCUAUUGUAACUUCCCCAAUUCUUCCUUAUCCUACCUAGUAUAGGUAAUAUUCCCUCUGUCCCAUUUUAAUAGGUUUGUUUUUCUUUUUCAUUCAUCCCGAAUUAUGGUCCACUUUUCCACCUUCCAAUUAAAAAAUACAGUUAUAUUAUAACUUCUCUAAGAUGCCCUUAUUUAAUAUUUUAGUACAAUCUAACUUAUUGCAUGUAAAGCUAAUUAGUCAUACUCAAUUAUUCAAUAUAAGGGUAUUUUAGACAGAUAGUAAGUUAGAUUUAUUUUUCUAACAAAGUUAAUUAACUUUGGAUAAAUUAUUUAUUACCUCCUAUGCUUUUAUAGAAUGUCAAAUAAUACUCCGAAAGUUUUAAAAUUGCCACAUAACCCCUCUUUGUGAUUUUAUGUAAAGUGAAAAAUAGACGGAACACACAAUCAGUUGCGGCGUUGAUGCCAAACGCCCUUUAAAAGCGCGUGCAAUAAAAUUUUAAUAUUUCUUGUAUAAAUAUUCACUUUACCUGUUUGUGACUUUUGCAUUUAUCCACGUAAUCUUCUUAUACUUUUAUACAUGGUGAUUAACCGUUGAUUAAUUUAGCAUUUAAAUAAGGACACUAUUAAUAUUUCAACUAAUGACGUUACAUAGUUAUUUUUCAUCAAGUUCCUACUUUAUAUAAAAUUAUAAGGGAGUGAAGUGGACAUUUUGAAACGUUAGAGGAAUUAUGUGACAACAUAUAAAACUACAAGGGGAUUACAUGUAAUUUGCCCAUUAAAUUUUCUUAAAUUGUGUGAUUAAAAAAAACAAAAAAUUAAGCCUGUCAAAGUGGGAGAGUAAUGUUUUAUAAAAGCCCUAAUUAAGGCUACAACCUACAAUGAGUAAAGUCUCCCUCAGUGGUCUUCUUUAAAUAUCCACCCGUUUCACAACAGUCUUGUAGGUAACCAGUCAUUAGCAAGCUCGUUCCCACUUAGAUUGGUGCCCCCCUUGGAAAUGACACCCCUUCGAUAUUUCAGUUUCAAUGUGGGCAAAUCGAAAAUCGGGCGUAAUUCCACUUGCUUUAGGAGCUUUGAAGGUUCCUUAAUUAUUUAUUAGUUGAGAAAUGUACGUGGUUGAAGCUCUCUUGUCCUAACCUCAUUAGUAUCGCAAUAAUUAAUUUCAUAUGACUGGAACUUCAAACCCAAACUAAGAUUGCGAUGAAUAAAAAUAAAAACAAAUAGUAGCCAUUACUAAAGGUUACUCAAUUAUGGUUAUUGAUUUUCUAAAACAUAAUCUUACAAAGUUUAGGAGGGUAUGAAUCAAGUGUGAUAAAAAUCCUCGGAUCAAAAUCUCAACUUUAGCUUCAAAGUGGCAAGAAGGAACAUAUCCAUCGUCCGUAGAACAAAGUUCAAGGACUUUUUGUUCUACGGAUUUGAACGGAUUUCUAAAAGUUUAAGAACUAUAAAAACCCUCAUGAAAGAAUAAUGAAUUUCUAUUGUAACUUCCCCAAUUCUUCCUUAUCCUACCUAGUAUAGGUAAUACUCCCUCUGUCCCAUUUUAAUAGGUUUGUUUUUCUUUUUCAUUCAUCCCGAAUUAUGGUCCACUUUUCCACCUUCCAAUUAAAAAAUACAGUUAUAUUAUAACUUCUCUAAGAUGCCCUUAUUUAAUAUUUUAGUACAAUCUAACUUAUUGCAUGUAAAGCUAAUUAGUCAUACUCAAUUAUUCAAUAUAAGGGUAUUUUAGAAAGAUAGUAAGUUAGAUUUAUUUUUCUAACAAAGUUAAUUAACUUUGGAUAAAUUAUUUAUUACCUCCUGUGCUUUUAUCGAAUGUCAGAUAAUACUCCGAAGGUUUUAAAAUUGCCACAUAACCCCUCUUUGUGAUUUUAUGUAAAGUGAAAAAUAGACGGAACACACAAUCAGUUGCGGCGUUGAUGCCAAACGCCCUUUAAAAGCGCGUGCAAUAAAAUUUUAAUAUUUCUUGUAUAAAUAUUCACUUUACCUGCUUGUGACUUUUGCAUUUAUCCACGUAAUCUUCUUAUACUUUUAUACAUGGUGAUUAAACCGUUGAUUAAUUUAGCAUUUAAAUAAGGACACUAUUAAUAUUUCAACUAAUGACGUUACAUAGUUAUUUUUCAUCAAGUUCCUACUUUAUAUAAAAUUAUAAGGGAGUGAAGUGGACAUUUUGAAACGUUAGAGGAAUUAUGUGGCAACAUAUAAAACUACAAGGGGAUUACAUGUAAUUUGCCCAUUAAAUUUUCUUAAAUUGUGUGAUUAAAAAAAACAAAAAAUUAAGCCUGUCAAAGUGGGAGAGUAAUGUUUUAUAAAAGCCCUAAUUAAGGCUACAACCUACAAUGAGUAAAGUCUCCCUCAGUGGUCUUCUUUAAAUAUCCACCCGUUUCACAACAGUCUUGUAGGUAACCAGUCAUUAGCAAGCUCGUUCCCACUUAGAUUGGUGCCCCCCUUGGAAAUGACACCCCUUCGAUAUUUCAGUUUCAAUGUGGGCAAAUCGAAAAUCGGGCGUAAUUCCACUUGCUUUAGGAGCUUUGAAGGUUCCUUAAUUAUUUAUUAGUUGAGAAAUGUAUGUGGUUGAAGCUCUCUUGUCCUAACCUCAUUAGUAUCGCAAUAAUUAAUUUCAUAUGACUGGAACUUCAAACCCAAACUAAGAUUGCGAUGAAUAAAAAUAAAAAUAUGAAUUAAGUUUUUAUGCACUGUUACUGUAAAAUAUUUUGUACACUAGCAGAUAUCAAUUCAUACCACAUAUACAAAAAAUGAAAUUUAAAUUUGAAAUUAAGUUACGUGACAUGCAUCUACAUUCGCUCGUGUCAGUGUAUAAAAAAUAGCCCAAUAAUUAUUGCCCUCCAAAAGUCAUUCAAGUUAACUAUUUUAGCCCAGCUAAAAUUAGUCCUGCCAAUAUUACUGAUUUAAAUUCCAAUACGCAUCUUGAUGAAAUCCAAUCUGUAAGGGUUCACAAGAACUUAGGCAAAAUACAGUAAUUAGCAUACUUUACGUACUGUUCAUUGGCUAACUUGUACUUCCUCCAAUUUCUUACCAAAUUACAGAAAAAGUGAAGCAUGUCAGAGGGUUUGUUUGGAUUGUAUUUCUUACCAACACAUUUCUAUCUUGUACUAACUUUUAUGACCCAUGCUCUUCAUUUUACCAUGUUGCGUGAAAUUAGUCCAGACAUGACAGAUGGAAUAUGGCUGUCGCUGGACAGAGAGAACUUGGACAACAUAACAAAAUCAAGUUCGUCCAACUCAAAGAUGAAUAUGAUACAGCAUUGGGACGCGGUGCCAACUUCAUGGUCAGACAAAAUUGAGAUUGAAGCAAUACAGCACGUGUUCCUUUCCUUCAGAAUACACUUACACAAGAGUAAAUGAGCAUCUCUCAACAAAAAGACUUUCCGAAAUCCAAUGGCUAACUGGGUACAAAACCUAAAGAAGUUCUGUGCACGAUAAAACAUCAAAAAGCUAGUAGUAUGUUUGAUGCUGCUUUUCAUUUCUGUAGAUGUUGAAGCAAAAUGCUGCUUUUCGUUUCUGUAGAUGUUGAAGCAAAAUUAACAAUGAAAGGGUUAAACAGUAAAGGGCAGCUUCUCGUUCAGUGAAGAACAAAUAUAAUAUAAUUGUGUUUGGAUUGCACCUUAUUCACACUUCAUUUACACAUGUUGACUUACUUGCAUCACAACAUAAUUUUCAAUUAUCUUUUAUCUCACAUAUAUCAUAUCAAAAAAGUAUUACACACUGGAUCAAGUUGAAGAUGUGGGUCGAAAAUUACCAUUGAUUGGGAAAACAACUUCCCAACUUGGCUAGCAGAAGCAGCCAAUAAUGACCGGAGGGCUGAGACUUUCUUUUGUAAUUAAGCCCUUGCAGUAUCAAGUGAACAUAUAUAAAAUGAUAUCUAACGUUUGUUAAAAAGAAAAAAAAAAAAAAAAGCUGAAGAUGUAAUUAAGCCCUAGCCAUAUGUUAUUUGUUAAUAAUAUCAAUACUCGCUUGCUAACAAGCGGGCAUGGUCGGGCAUGGCUCUCGGCCUUCAGUAUUCUCGAUUAGACCAAUCACUGCACCCCUUGGUCUGCAUGUGUGUAUCAGUGUACUGUUGACCUACUCUUAAACUCACCCUUUUACAGUAGUUUUUUACCUUGACCCUCCACUCAUCAGUGUUCUAUUUUCGACUAAUAAUAAAUUAAUGUCCAUUCUGCUGAAUUACCACUGUUAAUCAAAUGGAUGUAUGACAUCGAGUGAGUGGGGCUGCUCAUUAUAGACGAGCCCAAUCAUUACCAAAGUCAUUAAAAUUUUUCUUCCAAGACGCAGCCCACGAAAACUGCAGUCGGAAAUUGACAUGUCAAGUUUGUUCUCUAUAUAUUGUUAGUUAGUUGUGGGAGAAGCUGAUAAAAAGAAAUAGGAGUAAAGGAUGACGUGAAAAGGUACUAGUGUAAUCAUGGAUUACCACGAAGGGGAAGCCAAAUUAAAGUGGGAAAAAGGCACCGUGAACCAUAUGUAUGAAAGAACACGAGGUUAUUUUCACAUUAUUACUUAUUCCUCUGGAGUCAUAAUCUCUACGUAUGGGAAUUGACCCUACCCACUUGCAAUUAUUCGAAUUGGAAUUCAACGGGAGACCAAAAUGCCAAAAUAUCUCACAAGGACUACUCUCGAAUUUAGUGGUCUCCGUCACUCAUUAUUUGAGAGGUUUUCAAUUGACACGUCCGUUCGACACCCAAAGCUGGUUGAAUUGUUAUUUUUAGAAAUUUUUAUAGAAAGAUGUACUAAUUAUAUAAAUGAAGAAAUGGGUUUCAAAAAAUAUUAAAAAAAAAUAUUUGGAAAGACAUUAUUUGUCAAAAAAUUAUUUACUUGCACAAAUAUUUUUUCUAAAGUAUUUUUUAUUUUACAUAUAUUAUAUCGCAAAAAAGUGCUGCACUAAUUAUUUUAAAUAAUAUUUAAAACAUCGUCAUUAUCUAAAGAGAGAUUAGCCGUCGCAAGAACAGUGAAAUUCCACUAAGUUAGAAUUUCGUUAUCACUAGGAUGCCCGACAAAUCGGAGGCGAUUUGCGCAAUCUGGCUUCGACGACGCUUGAUUGAAUACGGCUAUGAAGCCAGUGACAACUGAGAAAUAGCUGUCAUUCUCAUGAUCCAGAAGGCCCAAUUGGCCAAUUCUAGCAAGUUCAUGGGAUCAUGGCCAAGAGGUUCCAAAUGAAAGUGAUUAAAUUAUUAUUUAUCACGCUCGGUUAUUAAAAAUAUCAGCCGCGUCCAUUUGCUGCAAGCAACGUUAAUAUUUAGGAUUAAUCUUUCCUAUACUGAUAAUAUAUACACUAUCAGCAUUAGAUGAAUAACAAAUAUGCAAAAUUUGAAAUUAUAAUUCAACUUUUGCACAUGUGUCACGGAUCCAACGAUGAUAAUGUACGUAAAAUUUAUUCUAAUAUUUAUAUAACGAACAACUAUUGUUUGGACAAUUCAAAGUCAUAAUAUAAUCAUCUCAUCACUCUGAAGUUAAUUGAAAACGUUCAUAUCAGUCCAUCUAUAUGCUAGUCUUGAAAAUGCAUGCCAAUUCUAGACAAAUACCAUGUAUGUAAUUCUCCUCAACACCUGAUUUCCACAAUUAUUUAGGCCUUCAAAUGCAAAAACGAAAGGGUUCCGCGAUUAAGGUUUGUUAGUUUCCCUUGAAUUUCUUGUUCUUCUUCUUUUGGUAGGAAACUCGCCUUUGAGUUCAACACUGCAUUGCACAAGCACAAAAGCCCCUGGAAUCAUAUAAAGUGAAGUCAUUAGCUACGUUCCGAAUGUUUUGGGUGUCAACCCAGAAACACUAAGGUUGUGUUUGGAUUGUAUUUUCCGUCAUUUUUCAUGGAAAAAUUACUGUAGCGAUUUGAUAUAUGUGAGGGAAAAAGGUAACAGGGAAAUGUGAUCACGGAAAACGAUAUAAUUUUCCGACGGAAAACCACAAUCCAAACAAGGAAUCAUAAUUAAUGCACUGCAAACUUAGGAAUCAUAAUGGAUGACAAGACAUCAUUCUGAUUGGUGAGGAUAUAAAAGAAAGGGCUGAUAAUGCUAUGGUUUAGACUGAAAAUUAUGAAUACAUCAGCUGUAGAAUAACAGGGAAUUGUCCAAUAUUCGCGAACAAAUGCAGUAAAUUUUAUGUCGACCAUAUCAAUGUUGAGUCAAUGUUGUCGACAUUCAUGGUCAAUCUUUCUGAUCGUGUACGCCUGACAUCCUUUUCCGGAUAAAAAUGUUCCACGUCCAUUAAUUAAUGCAACAACUAACAGACAUAGACCUUGAUCAUCUGCAAUUGUGACCGUACCAUGUAAGGAGAUAUUGAAACGGAUAAACUUGUAGCCUUCAUGUAGCCCAAUAUUACUGCAGUCGACCAGCUGCAUGAAUCUGCAUUAAACUUUUUCUUCAUUAAUUUCAACCAGGGAUUUUGACAGCAAAAUAUUUUCUUGUAAGAAACAACACAUGCACCUCACUGAAGCACUGGACGCCUACUGACCUCUACAGUGUUAUGAUUUUGUCUGUGAAAUUUAUCUUGGAAAGUUGCGGUUUAAUUCAGGGCAAAAACUGUAAAAGAACAUGUUGAACUGCCACUAUAUUACCGAGUGAAGUUUCUUGGUUUUUGUUGUGGCAGUGGAAAUAGGCCGUGCCACCGGCGUAAGAACCGUACUAAUGUCACCAUCACCAAUUCACAAUACAUUGGCCCCUUUCAAAAUCCAGCAAUGUUGGUGCUGGCCUUGGGCCAACAAGAAACUGGAGGCCAAGAAAAAGGUAGACUGCAAUUUUUUAUUUUUUAUUUUGGUGGGGUGGGGUUGGGGGGGGGGGGUGUGGAGGGAAGUAAAGCUAGACUGCAAUUAUUUAAAAACGACAACGAAAUUUUGGGUUCUCAUGCAAUGUAUUGUCACCAAUUGACAAGAAAAAUAUGCAACCAAAUCAAUCUUGAGUACUUAAAAAGUGCAGCAAUAACCUAUAUGAAUGUGGUUCACAAAAUUAAUUUCUCGUUUCAAUGUAUGGACAAGAGCUGUUGUUAAGCUUUAGGCGCAUAUGCAUGUAAAUCGAGUUCAAGAUUUAAAUGGAAAUUUUGGUCGAGUGCAAGAAUUUCUCCGGAGAAAUUAGAAGAAAAAAAAAAGAAGAAGAGAUCUGUCGGCACGUUCGGGUAAGAUAGUAUGCACGUGCUAGACCUUUAACACUAGAAAGCCAGUCAACGCAUCUGUCGUAGUGGUAGAUAGCUGAUCGUUCAUGAAAUGAGGUAUAAUACCAUAAAAAUUCACGAAUCAAGUCAUUUCCGGACAAUUUUGGUCCCCCGGGGUGGCAGGCAGGAAGAGGGAGAAGUGGGAGGGUAAAAAGGAAGUAAGGGACCAUCUAUACCUUUUGGGAGAAUUUUGAAUAUUUCUACUCUUUCAAGAUUUGCGGCUCUUGAGAAUGAAAUCCAUUUGUUCCCAUGAGUAUGGUGUUGAACUUAGAACAUGAAAAUUUUGGAAUUUCUCCGCCAAACAAAGAAAACGAGAGGUGCAAGUGCCACCGACUGCCGCUGUCCAUUUCUGCAUGGAGCUUAUUAUCUAUUUGCCCCAUGAUUAGAUGUGUAAAUGGACAAAAAAGAUGCUUGCCUUUUGGUGCUUUACUGUCAUCUCAAUCUGUUGUUAUAUCCGUUCUUUUUACUCCUCUAUUCUCUUUUUGAACUAUUUCGAUUAUCCACUUUCAUUCAUUGCAAAGCAAAAAAGGGUUUUGCAAAACCGACAGAACCUGAGUGUCAAAUGCACGUUGAAGUUCUCAAGCUCUUAGUCGCAACGCCAUAUAUCAGGACGUGGUCAGAACAUUCGCUUCUCCUUCUUCAAUGGUGAAAAUUGGAAACGAGCUAGUGGCUUUUUUUUUUUUUUUGCCCUUUAAUGGUAAAUAAAUGGAUAAGGUUAAACGAAACAUUGAAAGAAAGGUGGAGUCAACUAAUAUGACGAACGAGGAGCAAAGGGGUCGCUUUCCUGGUGUUCGUGAUUCAGUGCAUCAUACAGACAAAGAUAGCAGACAGGAUUAAUAUUCAAACUAUAGGCCAAAAAAUGAACUUUGAAACGGUGACGUUGCAUUAUUGCGGUGUAAACCAACAAAUAUACAGUACGCAAUAAUACAUUUGUACACGAAGCAAUUGAUAUAUUUCAAACAAUAAUGAGUAGCAAGUGUUCUUCGCAACCACGAAUGUGGUUUGGUUAUGAUCUUGAUCAGGACCCAUUUUGAUUCUCGUACGAUUUUCUAAUUUGCGUAACAAGAGUAUCAGUGUCUGUGAUUAAUGUAGUCAUAUAUAAUUCCAUGCAUAUUUGACGUUUCAACCACUGUUGCAAAAUUUCUCUUCAGCAAUAUUAAUCAUGUACAUGUUGGAAAUGAGACUCGAUCGCCCUAAAACGCAUCCACUACAAUACGCUGUAAUCAGCUUCUAUAUAUCUGACUCAAGAAGAAAUGUGCGUGUGUGUGUGUGUGUGUUUUUUUUUUUUUUUUAAUUUCAUUGACUGUAUCAAGUGCUUUGUCAAUCUAAUCACCAUCAUAUCAUAAUCAACUUUUUAGUUAUGCUGAUCACUGUCAUCACAAAGCAACAAAAGAAUUACUACAAGUUAAUCAUAAUGAUUAGGGAGGAAUUAAGUAAGAAGAGGUACUGAGUGGAUUAAGGUGAUUAUCGAUAGAGACAGCGCUCCGACCCCUAUAGCCUUGCCGGCCCCCUGUCCCUAUAGUAUACUAUAUGAGUCUUUUCGGCUGACAAAUCCCCGAAGCAAAAUAGAAAAGGUCAAAAAUAGAUCAGACUUUAAGCUGUUUGGCAAAAAAAAUGAUUUCCUUAUACUAUAUAAGAAUGAGUUAAGGACAAAGAUUUCAACCGCAAGGGUGUGGCUAUUUUGGGAAUAUGAGAGUAUUUGAAGUGCAAUUAGAGUAUUGAAUAUGAAUCAUUAUAACUAAUUUGGUUUUUUUUUUUAUAAUUACUUAAAUGUCCUGUCAGACAUUUAAAACUAUGGGUAAGUUUAACAUGUAGCAGUAUUCGAUAUCUGAUUAAACAUUGGGUACAAUUGAAUUCAGGUUGUGUUUUAGUGGAAUUACAUAAAAAUCCUUUUAAUAAUUUAAUUGGAUUAACAUCCAAGUCUAUUAAUUUCUUAAAGCCAUUCUUAUCAGUUAUUUGCAAACUUGUGAUAUAUAGAUGUUAAGACACAAUUAAUACGGAUUAGUAGAGAAGUUUGGUUUCUUGGCCGUUACUAUAGUAACCCCCAUCUAUUUAAAUUCAUUUCAUUUACUUAUAAUUUUGUCCCACUACAAUCAUGUAGUCUAUUGAAUUCAGAUGUUGCUAUAUUAGUUACUCCUCUUUCCCAUUUUGCAACAUCUUUUUCAAUAGGUAUGUUUUCUUUAACUAAUCUACUUUUUUUGUUGUAAGAAAUCUGCAAUCUUGCAAGUUGUACGUGCAAUACUUUUUUUAGUGUUUCAAUUCAAUUGCCCAUGUUAGAUAGGUUUGAUAGGGAGAAGAUCACAUUUGUUAAUUGUUAUUUGUGGUUUAAAAUAAGUUUAUCAUCAUAAAUUUUUUCAUUUAUAAAUUGCAUCUAACUCUUUUGUUGUUUUAACUAUUAGUUACGGUAAUUUUCAAAUUGUUUGCUACUUUAUUGAUGAUUUCAUUUAGACAAUUUUUCACUUCAUUUGAUUUGCCAAUAUGUUUAACUAUCUACUUAAAACUAUUUGGCUACAUAUCUAAAGUAUGUACUUCAUUACUUUUAAUUGUUUUCUUGAAUUGAGUGGAUUGAGAUGUUUUAGUACUUUUUGAGGUAAUUAUUCAUCUAAAUUAGCAUGUUAGUUAUUGUAUAUAUUUGCAACUAGGUCAAAAAUUGAUAUUUUGUGACUGUAACCCCUACCAAGAAGAAGAUGUUUUACUAUAUAUUCUAAAUCAUACAAUAAAUCAUAAUUGAUUGAUUGGUCAAUGUGAAUGUUUCAUGAUGAUAUGUCCUUGGAAUCAAUAUAAAUCAAAGAAUUUGGCUUGCGAGAACUGAAAUUCCACUAGCAAUGAUUUCUUCAAGUAUGCUAAUUGUUCAAAUCUCACUCAUAUGACAAGAUAAUGAGGUGGAUUGCCCUCGUAGCAAAAUCAAAUUCAAACUAAAUAACAAAUUUUAAUAUCCCUAAAAUGCAUGAGCAGAUAUAAGUAAAUCUUUUAUUCUAUUAGAUUAGACGCAAAGUGGUUAAUCAUAUUUUAUAAUUAUAUUUCAUUGCAUAUUAUACAUUUUUACUCAAUAUGUAAUUUAUGAUUUUUCUGUUUAAUAUCACAGAAUAAAAUUGUCAUACUUCAAUUAUUAUACUAUAAAAUACUAAAUAAUAAUUAUUAACUAUUUUUAAUUAUAGGUAUUAAACUCCCGCGCAUGACGCGGGUUUUUUCCCCUAGUAAUGAUGAUAAAAGGGAGCUUCCAAUGGGGGGAGGACACUUAAAAUUAAGAACCUUCCUCCCAAGUACACCUGCGCACUAAAAACACCGAUCGAAGGGCUAUUCAAAAUUUGUUACGUGUCGAAAUUUGAGGGAUUAAAGCUGGAGAAGUUCAUAAACUUAGUCUUGACAAGUAGGUACGUAACUUUAAUGUGAUCCAUCCAACCAGAUUCAGUGUUUGGGAUCCUAGAUAAAUAUCGCAACGGAUCUUCUGUCCCACACCCUAUGCCACUCUCUGUCCCACUUUUUAUUAUAUUGCCAUUUCUCAUUCAUAAACAUCAUGUUUUAAUUCUUUUUUGUUUCCUUAAGAUCCAAUAACUAUUAAUUAAGUAAAAAAUAAAUAUAACAGCUUCAAAAAAGCAAUAUAUAAUAGAAAAUUAAAAAAUACAGCAGAAAAUUCAUAAAAAAUCUCAUUUUUUAUGCAUUUUGAUUUUUUGAGUUUGUUAAAUUUUGUGUAUUACUCAAUUAAUAGUUAUUGGAUCUUAAGGAAGCAAAAAAGAAUUAAAACAUGAUGUUUAUAAAUGAGAAAUAACAAUAUAAUAAAAAGUGGGACAGAGAGUGGCACAGGGUGUGGGACAGAAGAUCCGUUGCGGAUAAAUAUUAUCGAAUGUUUUGUACAGCAACGGAUCUUCUGUUCCACAUCCUGUGCCACUCUCUGUCCCACUUUUUAUUAUAUGGCUAUUUCUCAUUCAUAAACAUCAUGUUUUAAUUCCUUUUUGCUUCCUUAAGAUCCAAUAACUAUUAAUUGAGUAAAAAAUAAAUAUAACAACUUCGAAAAAGCAAUAUAUAAUAGAAAAUUUAAAAAUACAGCAGAAAAUUCAUAAAAAAUCUCAUUUUUUAUGCAUUUUGAUUUUUUGAGUUUGUUAAAUUUUGUGUAUUACAUAAAUAUAACAACUUCGAAAAAGCAAUAUAUAAUAGAAAAUUAAAAAAUACAGCAGAAAAUUCAUAAAAAAUCUCAUUUUUUAUGCAUUUUGAUUUUUUGAGUUUGUUAAAUUUUGUGUAUUACUCAAUUAAUAGUUAUUGGAUCUUAAGGAAGCAAAAAGGAAUUAAAACAUGAUGUUUAUGAAUGAGAAAUAGCAAUAUAAUAAAAAGUGGGACAGAGAGUGGCACAGGGUGUGGGACAGAAAAUCCGUUGCGGUUUUGUACUGUUAACACUUAACAUUCUCUUAUCUGACCAGAGAAACAUGUCCUAGUUUUCCAACCUUUCUUUCGCAUCUUAUUAAUGCGUUUUUUCCUACUCUGAAUUACUUCUCCUUUCUUCUUUUUGCCCCCUCCAUCCAAAAAACACUGAAGAAGCACCACCGCUCUUUCUUGACCUUUCGUGUCAGACGGCCGGCCCCUCCAGUCUAUUGUCGUUGAAACUUUGACACCAAACAUCCAAAUUGGCACUACUCGAUCUCUCUGCAACUUCAAAGCCUAUCGAAAAGCCAUGCAUAUAUAUAUAUAUAUAUAAGACUUGGGAUUUUGCCGACGUAAAUAUAUUCACAUAGUACGCGUGUAUGUUCUUUGUUGGCAUGCAUGCCGACGCAUACGCUACUGUACACAUACACGUUACCUAUACUAAAGGAAAAAGGUCAUUGUCGUAUAAAGUGGAAUGUUUAUGUGAGUGAGAUUUGUUGACGUUCGAUAUAUAUGGGAUGGCUCAUGGCGAUGGGGUUUGAUGUGAGGUCGCGAAAUAAAGACGGAUGAGACCCCACCACCACAGCCAAAAUCAAGGUUGGAAGCCUAAAAUUAUGUGCGUAUGUAUAUUGUACCAGUACUAUAAUAAUUUGUAUGUGAGAGAAGAAGGGGGGCGGGGGCGGUGGACGUGGGCAGGGAGCAAAGUCUAAGAUUGGGAGGGGCCUCCAAUAUUCGGGGCGUCUACUUAGUCACACACAAAAUUUAUCCUAUGGCUAUCUUGAUUUCAACAUCCACCACCUGUCCCCCUUAAGAGUCAAAAAGCCCACUCUAGUCGUAUUUUUCCAUGGCUCAUUGGUCACUCCUCCAGUCUACUUCCCAUAUGGCUGAAAAAUGGGAGUCCAGUAAUCAGCUCGCUAAACAUGGACACUCCUCAACUGAGUACUCUCUUGCUUCCUCUCGAUCUUUAAUCCAUUCCCUCUAAUGGGAUGUAUGGCGACAUGCCGACAUUGGUUGACUGUUAAGAAAUGACGAGGAAAAAUUACCACCAAAAAAAAAAAAAAAAUUCCAUCAAAGCACGUUCCUAGUGCACAAUCUACGGUGCAAUUAUUAUUAUUAUUAUUAUUAUUAUUAUAAUAUAAAAAACACUGCAAAUCUUAUAAAAAAAAGUUUUAUUAAAGGAAGACUUGACUGUCAAUCGAGAGAGACUGUACGAUCACUAAUGUGGAUACAAUUAAACUGGAUCUUGAGACCCAUAGUAAGAUUUGCAGGAUUAGGCUCUUGUCUUUGCAUAAGUUUCUCAACCAAACAGCCAUGCAUAUAAAUCGGCCCGUGGACUAGAGGAGAUGGAGAAAAUGGACUAUUGUUUUGUCUCCAAUUUUAAUGGCCAGGCUCUAUAGUAUUUGUCGGAAUCCUAGCCCAACUAGUCUCGAGUCCCUGGAUGAAGCUAUAUAUAUUCAUUCUUUCUUUCGACAGACCUAGGCUUUUGUACAGCCUCAAAAUCAAGUCUGGAAAUAUUUGUACCGCCCACAACAUAGCGCCCGGGCCAUUAUUGUCAAAAAACUUUUCUCAAGAAACAAAACAUUAGAAAUACUUGAGUAGCGGGGUGCAUACUUAAAGAUGAUUUUUUUCAAACAAAAAGUCCAGUAAGAAACCAAGACACUUUUCCUUUUAGCGAAAAGAGUUUCUCACACCAGCUACAACAAUGUAAAGGCUAAACAAGAAGAGGCCUUAGUGUAAACUCAAAGGCCUGACCGGGUAACAUGCCAUUGGCCCGUCCAUUCUCCAGCUUUCGCAAGCCCAUAUUGUACUGUUUCUGGUCGCAUGGGGUUCUAGCUUAGCAGGCCACUUCAACGAGUUCAACUCAAGUUUUUUUUUUUUUGUUGUUCGAAGGAAUUCAUGCCUUCAUGUUUUAAGGUAUCUCUAGUUUUAUUUUCUGGCCCAGUCCAUAGUAUUUGUAAUGGGGUUUGUUGAGUAGGUGAACAGUAGACUCUCUUUAGUAGAAAUUUCACAAUGGAAUGGACUAAUCAAUCGUCUAUUGUUCCAACCUGAAAAUUUCUCAACUUUGUUUCCUUCCCGAGACAUCAAACUCCAACAAUCUACUCCCUCCCUUUUUUUUUUAUAACUGAUGUUUAAGAAAUUUGCUCUUAAGUAUUUUUAUCUGUCGUUGUAUUAUUCUCAUGUAGCAUUAAUUAUUUUUUUACAAUUUUGCUAUUUUAUCUCUCUUUACCAAUACAGGGCUCUUAAUUACUACUCCUAGCAAUUAUUAUUUCUCUCUUUGCUUUUGGCCUAGUAAAACAGCACCAUUUAAUACUCUAGUGAGAGAAAACAUGAGUGAAUUGGACAAUUAAUGAGGGUACAAAAGGAAAGUAGUGUAUAGAUUUAAACAAUGAAAAACUUUUCUUAAUUGGUGUGCAAAACCUUAAACGUCAGUUAUAAAAAAAGGGAGGGAGUAUUUGCCGCCCCGUGCACUCUACUACUCGAUUUUAAUUCACUUGUCUGACAAGGUUAACGACAAGAUGCAAAUGGAUGGUAGAACUCUCGAGGUCGUUUGUAAUUGAAUUGGCCACGGGAAGGAGGUCAUGCCUCGUGACUCUUGCUCAUAAUUUCGAAUCUAACAAAUUAAUGUUGUCUGUUCCUUAAAUGUAUGAGAGCAAAAAAUUUUAACAUUUUAACUCUAAUCAGUAACAGACAUAAAUCCUCAAUUGGUCCCACAAAAAACCCAAGUUUUAUAAACUCUUUCCAAUUGCCAGUUAAUCGCAAAUAAUGAUCUAUUAUCUUUCUUCAUUUUUUUUUUUUGAUAAAAAAAUUUUUUUUGGAUGGAUUUGACUCCGAAUACCAUCACGGGUUAAGGCAAUUCCCCCGAGAUCAUAAGUCGUCUACAGACAUUUGUAUAAAUUAUGCAUCAAUACAGCUCUCACAUUAACAACGAUAUUCGGUUUCGGUCACCACUACGGAUUAAAGCAAUCUCUCGGAGACGACUAUAAAUCGUGUACAGGAGUUCUUACACAUCACUCAUCAAUACAAUCCUUACAUUAGUAGCAAGAUUCAAAUACACGAUCUUUUGUGAGAAAGUUAUUCAUUUUACCAAUUUGUGUUGACAAUAAUAACCUGCUAUCAUUUUCAAAGAAAGCCCUUGUCUGGCCUUCUCUGGUGGUCACCCAUGUCCCAUAAGCAAUUCAGCCCACACAUAUCAAUUAGGAUGAUAAGAAAGGCAGAGAGAUAUCUACAUUCAUCUCCUUAUUUAUUUUUCAUCAUUUAAAUUCCUAAUUAAUGCUAACCAAUACCUAAAUUCAUGAUUGAAGGGGGGAACAAAGCUGAUGACAGAACAUUUGACGUUAAUGUUUCGGUGCUGGAGUGACAAGGACAGCCCAGAAACUAUUCAUAGCCCUCCAAUCAAAAACUGCAACGAUAGCGCGCACAGCGGUUGGAACCACCACAGCAUCAAAUUCCAACCAUGCAUGAAAGUGAAACCAAAUGAUAAAUCAUGAAUUAAUUCCACCGCAAGCAAAGCAGCAACGGGAGGCAAAUUUCUACUACAACGUUUCCCUACCAUUUUCCUGGACGCCAACUCAUGAAUUUUCAAAGAGGCUUCAACUUUUAUGGUGCCGUAAGCGAAAUUUUCCAUGCUAGAAAAUAGCGGUUGGAUAGAGUAUUAUUUUCAAAUAGUAGCUUACAGCACCAUAAAAAGUUGAAAAUUUUCCAUGCUAGAAAAUUUUCCAAUUGGGUUUAUUUGGAUAGAGUAUUAUUUAAAAUAUUAUUUGAAAUAAUUAUUAUAGCAAUUUUUUUGUAUUGUGAUGUAUAAAAAAUAAAAAGAUAGUUGAAAAUAUAAAAAAAAUAGAUUGAAAAAUAUGUUUCUGAUGCAAGCGAAAUAUUAUUCAAAAUAAUUUCACUGUCCAAACACUCCCAUCAAAUUUUACCCCAAUUGACCAUUUCAAGUUUUACACUUUCACCCCGAAUGGUUUAUUGUAAUAUUUUAAAGAUACACUACAACAUAUGUACUAAGAGUCUAACAACGUCUAAAAGCAUAUUAUAUAAGUAUAUUAUAUGUGCAAAUUUUAGAGUCUAGAUUCAAUAUUGAGAUCGAAUGACAUACAUUCAAAUCAGUAACGUAUAUAUUCUUAAUAUAUAAGAGAUUAAUCAAUAUAUAUAUGUAUUGACGGCUCUAAAUAUAUAUCAUACGUAUAGAAUUUGAAAUUUGGAUUCAAACGUGGCUUGCAUUCGAACUGCUGAUAUGUAAGUUGUUGAAAAAGGAUAAAUCCAUCAGCAUUGCUUCUUACACCAACCGUUUGUGCACUAACGGGUAUUUACCAAAUCCAAAAUUAGUUUAUCACCACUACUAUUUCCCUCGAAAUCCAACCAGUCAAUCCCUUUAAGGCUCAAACUGAAGCCAUGCUAAUACCUCUGUUUUCAAACUCGGACCGGACCGGCCGGUCGAACCGGUUGAACCGGGAACCGGCCAGGUAGCCGGUCCGAGUCACAUUAGAAAACCGGAAAUUUAAAACCCGGUCAAAGCCGGUCAAAAACCGGGUUUGACCGGGUUUGACCGGGAAAAAACCGGUUUUUCCGGUUCAACAGUAUUUUUUUAAAAAAAAAUUCAAACUUUUUAAUAUUAUGUUUUGACCCCCUAAAUUGUUAAAACUUAUUGAUAUACCUCAAAUAUUUGAUACUUUAUAAAUAUUGUCCUAAAAUUUGAUGUUAUUUUUCAAUUAAAUUCAUAAUUUUAAUUCUAAACUUGUUAAUAUUUAUUAAAUAAUAUAAAUUGCUACUUGAUUGUUCUAAUUUCUUUGUAUUUUCUUGUUAAAUAUAUUUGAAACAUCAAAUAUAUAUGAAUAUGCCUUUAUUAAUAUCAAUAUAUUAUUAGAUAUUAUAUAUAUAACAUUUUAAUUUUAAAAUAAUUUUUAUUUAUGACGUCAUCCGGUUCGACCCCUAUCGACCCCCGGUCGAACCCAUUGACCCCUGACCCCUGACCUCGGCCGAGUCGCUAUCCGGUCCGGUUCUGAAAACAUAGGCUAAUACCACUGUUAGUGUUUGUUUUUAAUAAUAUAAAAAAAUUGCUGAAAUUGAAUUCAUUCAGACAUUCAUAUUUUUUGGGUGUUUGAUAAAUAAAAAUUUUUCUGCUGAACUUGUUAAGUGGUGCUGAAUUUGUAUGUAUUUUUUUCAGCACAUGAAUCAUAACUGAAUGCUUAAUUUGAUAAGAAUUAAGAGAUUUACUUCAACUACUUUAUCUUAUCUACCAAAUCUAUUCUUGUUUAUUAAUUACAUUCAAAAUCCUUAUCUAAUUAAACAACCUAAUAAUCUUUAUCCAAAAUCCUUAUCUAAUAAAACAACCUGACAUUCUCUGUCCGAUGAUUUUCUACUUCUAUUUUUUCCCUAUUUAAUAACUUUUUUACAAUUUCCCUAUUUGUUGCAAUUGUUAAAGCAAAUUCCCAAGUCCUAAUGUCCACAUCCAGCAUUCCAGCUGCUAGCCAGCCAAAGCAGCAGUUGUGUAGACAUCAAAAUAAUCCAUUUUGCAAAAUAGUGGAUUCAAACUUCCCAUUCAACGUCUUCUUGCGCCAUUCCAACUCUCCACUUUUACCCUUUCAACACGACACAACCCUCUCUUUCAUGCUACAGGGAGUUAGGGACCAAGACACUACCAUAAUCCUGCCCGUAACUCCAUAAUUGAGUCCAAAAUAAUCAAAAGUCGAAAAAGCAUCCAGAUUUCCUCUCGUCCCAAUCUCUGCUGAGUUCCAUUCUCCUCCACUUUCCUUCCUCCUCCCUCACCAACUAGCCUUUUCUCUAACCAAGCCAUACCUUUUCUUGGACAAAUUAAUAAAGGAAAAAAGAUAAGAACAUUCCUUUUCUGGCGGAUCAACUAGCCUUUUCCACUUCAAUUCCCAACUCAAAACAUCAUUCAUUCCUUUAAAGCCAAGCAAGAAUCUUUCCACAAUCUCCACCUUCCCCAUAAGCCCCACUUCCUUUUCUUCCAGACUCCCACGCAGAAAAAGAAAAAGAAAAAGAAAAACAAAGCAGCAGAAAGUUUUACCUCUUCUGUAUGAUAAACAUCAUCACAAAUCCCAAAAUUCUUUGCUUUUUAGUAUUAAUUUAUGCGUUACUUAGCACUAGAACUAUUGGUCUUCCUCACACACUAGCACACCCAUGAAAACGCAGAGAGUUGCAUAGAAGGACAUGAUGUCUUAUGCUCACAGGGACACAACAACGUUAGCAAAAUCAAAAACCCACUUCGAAACCAACAAGGACAACACCAAAAUGGUGCUUCAAUACAGCAAUCCCACCUCAAAAAUCCCACCUUUGGAAGAGCUUCCCAACCCAUUUGGCCAACUAAGUCUUCACCUGACCCAGUCGGAGCUUCGGGAGACUGCUUACGAGAUUCUCAUCGGAGCUUCCCGGAGCUCCGGUGCAUCCAGGCCCUUGACCUAUGUAUCGAAUUCGGAGAGGACCAUGGAGAGGUCGCGGUCCACGUCAACAUCGUUGCAGAGGUCAGUGACGUCUGCGGCGGCUAGUAAGGUCAAGAAAGCUCUGGGUUUGAAGUCGAGGAGGAAGAAUUUAGGUUCGGACGAGGCGGACGCGGACGUAGACGCGGGUCAGGGGAAGCACUCGGCGAGUCAGUGUACUACCCAGAAGAAAAGGUCGUCGACGGUGGGUGAGUUGAUGAGGGUCCAGAUGAGAGUUUCGGAGCAAACCGAUUCCAGGGUCCGAAGAGCUUUGUUAAGAGUAGCUGCUGGACAGGUUUAUUCAAUGAUUCUCUAUUACAGUAGAUUAAAAUCCCCACUUUGAGCUUUAGGCUCUGUUUGGUUCUUCAAUUUCAGUUCUGGGAUUGCUUUAUACUUUUCUUGAAUAACUGAGUUAAGUGAAGAUUAGAAGUAGAUGAGCUAGAAAGGUUAAAUGUGGCUAGCGUUCCAGUAAAUAGUUCUUGCUUGGUAGUUAUCUCUUAGUAAUUAUACUAGCAAUUAAAGUUUGGUUUCAAUGCAUGAUAAUGAGUUUCAGUCCACUGUGUGGCUGCUAUGAAAUUCGUUAAUUUUUUUUUUUCUCUUCACAUUUCUGGGAUUGCUGCUUAAUUUUAGAACUUGGAAACAAAACCGGAAAUUUUAAAACUUUUUAACGAAACUGAAACUGGACUAUGUUUGUUUCUUCUUUUCAUUGUCAUGGAAAGCUUUGAUGUCUGUUUAUGAUAUAGUUCAAGAAAGAGUCUCAUUAUUUUCAACUGUUAGCUUGUCUCAGUUCUAAUUCCAUUAUGGAAUGCGAAUCCAUAGUUUUUAUUUUACUCUUUUAUCCGUCUGAGCGCGCAACGGAUCUUCUGUCCCACACUCUGUGCCAUUUUAUGUCCCACUUUUUAUUAUAUUGCUAUUUCUCCUUCAUAAACAUCAUGUUUUACUUCUUUUUUGUUUCCUUAUGAUUCAAUAACUAUUAAUUCAGUAAAAAAUAAAUACAACAGCUUCAAAAAAGCAAUAUAUAAUAGAAAAUUAAAAAAUACAGCAGAAGGAGACAAAUUUUGUUAAAUUUUGUAUAUUACUGAAUUAAUAGCUAUUGGAUCUUAAGGAAAUAAAAAAGAAGUAAAACAUGAUAUUUAUGAAGGAGAAAUAGCAAUAUAAUAAAAAGUGAGACAGAGAAUGGCACAGAGUGUGGGACAAAAGAUCCGUUGCGGUCUGAGCGUGUGUGCCAAUCUGUUGCAUGAUCUUGCGUCAGUUAUAAUUCCAAAUUCCAAGACUGAGAAUUAGAACACUGGAAUACUGAUCCAAGCCGGAUUGAUCCUCAAAGGCUAACCUCUGCUGGCCUAUUUUGCUUUUUUUUUAUUUUUUUAUUUUUUUUUUAUUUUUUAUAAUUAGCCUUAAAAGGAGGUAAUGGUUUGGCUAUUGACAUUUUGUUUGUUCCUUUGAACAGCUUGGAAGACGGAUGGAGUCAAUGGUUCUGCCUUUAGAGCUAUUGCAACAGUUCAAGUCUUCAGAUUUUCCUAAUCAGCUGGAAUACGAGGCAUGGCAGAAGAGGAACCUGAAGAUACUCGAGGCUGGUCUGCUCUUGCAUCCCCAUCUUCCGCUGGAUAACAGAGACAGCUCUGCUCAACAACUUCGCCAGAUCAUUCGUGGGGCUUCUGAAAAACCUAUGGAGACCGGGAAGCACAGUCAGUCAAUCCAAGCCCUUCGCAAUGUGGUAAUGUCGCUUGCCUGCAGAUCAUUUGAUGGGUCUGGCUCUGGGAUGUGCCACUGGGCUGACGGUGUUCCACUGAAUUUUCAUCUCUACCGAAUACUUCUUGAAUCUUGCUUCGAUGUGGGUGAUGAAACUGCUGUCAUUGAUGAAGUUGAUGAGGUUUUAGAACUCAUCAAAAAGACUUGGAUCAUCCUUGGUAUAAACGAGAAUUUGCACAAUCUUUGCUUAGCAUGGGUUUUGUUCAGUCGAUAUAUUGCCUCUGGGCAAGUUGGAAAUGAUCUGCUUUUUGCCACUGAUAGUCUGUUGCUGGAAGUUGAAAAGGAUGCAAAGGAUCUUAAGGACCCAGCUUACCGGAAAAUACUGAGUUCUACAAUGAGCUUGAUUUUGAGUUGGGCAGAGAAACAACUUCUUGCUUACCAUGAGAACUUUUACGGGAGUAACAUUGAUAUAAUGGAGAAUGUUCUGUCACUGGCCAUAUCUGCUGCCAGAGUACUUGCGGCAGAUGGUUCUCAGGCGAACCAUAGAAAAUGGAAAGAACUUGAUGUAGCAUGUGGUAGAGUUGACUCUUACAUCCGAUCAUCUCUGCAGCGUGCAUUUUCUCAGGCAAGUUUAGAUUUUUCCUGCUUUUGUUAGGUACUAAAACGCAUGAAAUAGAGUUGGUCAAUUUUUGCACUCCAAAGUUAAAAAGAAGUUGAUCCAUUGAAUUUCCUCCUGGAUGAAGUUUUGCAAAGAAAUAUCUUUUUCCACUAGAUUAAUUUCGAUCAUUGUUUGUCAAUUUUACUAGUUGCUUCAGUGUUCUGGCUGCAGUAAAUCCUAUAUGGGUCCCCCAUCAUAAAAUAUUCGCUCCUUUUCAUGGCCUAAGAUGAGUAUAAUAAAUCAUUGGCUUCACACGUGUUGUCAUCUUUGCACAUUCCAUUUGAUUUUGCCUAAAAGUUACUCAAUUUUGUUCUAUUUGCUAUACCUGAAGACAGGAAAAAGAGAAGAUAAUCUCAAGUAGGAAGACUGCGAAGAACCAGCAGCAUUCUCUUCCCAUGCUAUCUGUGCUUGCCCAGAAUAUAACAGAUCUGGCUUUUAACGAGAAGGAAAUAUUCAGUCCAAUACUCAAGCGAUGGCACCCUCUUGCAACUGGUGUUGCAGCCGCAAAGCUUCAUGCUUGUUACGGAAAUGAGCUGAAGCAAUUUGUUUCUGGUAUAACAGAGCUGACUCCUGAUGCUGUACUAGUGCUGAUAGCUUCUGACAAAUUGGAAAAAAAUCUUGUACAGAUGGCCGUUGCAGAUUCUGUGGACAGUGAUGAUGGUGGGAAAGCAAUAAUUCAAGAGAUGACUCCUUAUGAAGCUGAAUCUGUCAUUGCUAACCUGGUAAAAUCAUGGAUAAAGACAAGGGUGGAUAGACUCCAGGAAUGGGUUGAGAGAAAUCUGCAACAAGAGGUCUUUAAUCUCUCAUUCGUUUUAUGACUCCAUGUCUCUGUUUGAUUGGCAUCAUUAGUUAUCGUUAGCUUGUUGAUCACAUCCUGGCACUAAAAUUAAAUUCUCCACAAAAAAUUCUGAUUGUCGAGGGACUAUGUGAUGGUUAGUCAGAUGGCUUAGUCUAUAUGUGAUUCAUUUGGGCUACUUUUCUUGUGCAAGGAUGUCUUGUCUUUGUCUGGUUUCUUCUUUAUUUGUUUGAUGUUAGCUGCGUUUUGAUGCACAAAUUUUAUACGUUAUACUCCUAAGCACAUGGGAGUGAGUAAUUGCAUUACAGACAGAUAAAAAGGAACAGCUGCAUGGAUGAAAUUUCCCUUGUGCCUCCACUCCUAGCAUUCAUUAUAAGAAGAUGUAAGUUAGGAUGUUGAUUUAGGACAAGGUAUACGUGGUACUGUCAAAUUGAGUUUUUGUAUCCUCACCAAAUUUGGUUCAGAGUACCCAACUUCCCUUAUCCUGAUCCCCAGGGCAGAAAAAAGGAAAAAAGUAAUGGCUCAUUUUAGGUUAGCUUCUCAAUAGUUAAAGAUAUUCUGUCGUUGAAAAAUGAAACAUCUGGUUAGCCAGAACUGCAGGACUUAAGAUUAUUUGCCUCUUGUAACAGGUCUGGAACCCUCGUGCAAACAAAGAGCGAUUUGCUCCCUCUGCAGUGGAGGUUCUUCGCAUUAUUGAUGAAACUUUGGAAGCAUUCUUCCUGUUGCCAAUAGCAACACAUCAAAUUUUGAUUCCUGAUUUGAUGAAUGGUUUGGAUGCCUGCCUCCAGAAUUACAUAAUAAAGUCAAAAUCUGGCUGUGGUAAGUAUCAUAUAGGCUGGAAAAAGGUAUCUGAAUUAACCAAUCAAAUUAUUUCUUUCUGAAUUUAAUUUAUACAUGUAUCUGCAGGAUCUAAAGAUACUUUUCUUCCUCCUCUACCUGCUUUGACAAGAUGUACUGCUGGCUCAAAGUUUGGUGUAUUUAAGAAGAAAGAUAGAUCAUAUAUGGUUCAAGUAAGGAAAUCUCAAGUUGGCUCUAGUGAUGUGGAUGACUACUUUGGUAUACCAAAGCUAUGUGUUCGCAUAAAUACCAUGCAUCUCAUCCGGAAAGAGGUGGAAGUCUUGGAGAAGAGGAUAACCUCUAAUUUGACAAAUAGUGGUUAUGUUCAAGAUAGUAUUGUGACAGUUGGGUCAGAUAAAAUGUUUGAGCUUUCAGUAGCAGCUUGUGUGGAGGGGAUCCAGCAACUCUCUGAAGCAACUGCCUAUAGGAUCAUCUUUCACAAUCUGAACCAUGUUUCUUGGGAUUACCUGUAUGUGGGGCAGGUCUCAUCAGCCAGGAUUGAACCAUUUCUUCAACUGCUAGAGCAGAAUUUAGAAAUUGUAUCAGCAACGGUGCACGACAGGGUCCGGACUCGCGUAAUUACACAAAUAAUGAAAGCCUCUUUUGAUGGGUUCUUGUUGGUUUUGCUUGCUGGGGGCCCUUCUCGUGCUUUCACUGUGCAGGAUGCUGCAGUAUUAGACGAGGACUUUAGGUUUCUUAUGGAGCUAUUCUGGUCCGAUGGGGAUGGAUUACCGACUGAUUUAAUAGACAAGUAUUCAGCCGCUUCAAAGGACGUCCUUUCACUUUUUCAUACUGAAACUGUAAAACUUGUUGAGCAAUACAAAAUUGUGACUCUUAAUAGGUAUGGAGCUUCAGACAAUUCCAGGCUUCCACUACCACCAACUUCAGGUCAGUGGAGCGCUGCUGACCCUAACACAAUUCUUCGAGUUUUAUGUCAUCGAAAUGAUGAGGUAGCUACAAAGUUUUUAAAGAAGACCUAUCAUUUCCCAAAGAAGCUGUGAGAGAGAUUUCAAGGAGGUGAUGCAAAUGUAGAAUUUUACCAGGCAUCAGCAGUUCCUCUUAUUUACUUGUAAUGACAUUGAUCGACCUCACUACUAUAAGAAGCAGAUUUUUCUUGCAUAGAGUAUCCAUGGGAGAUUCUUUCUCAUCAAAGCAAUUACCACAUAGAUCCUAACAGAAUCUUUCAUCGAUAGAAUCAUGGGGCUUGCUCUUUGGUAUAUUGUAUAUAAGAGUUCGGACUUCCAGUUUCAGACAAUAUUUGAAGUCCUCGACUGCUGCUGAGACGACGGAAGAUAACUGCACAAGCUGGUAACACAGUUGUAUCUCCUAAAUCGCAAGUCUAUCACCUUACUGAGCUUUGCCUAGAAAGGAAGUUCAAAUUUGCUGUACAGAGAGAGAUGUUACAACGCAGGUUGGAUUUUGACUUGUUUUUAUAGUCUACAUGUGGAACUGCUUGAAGCUGAAAUUUUUAUGCCACAUGCAUUUACUAAAAGAUAUUCUAGAGUUACUGAGGCUUGCUGAAUAAAUGGAUUGCUAUCAUUCUUUGAUUUUGUGGUUCAAGUCGUUCUCAGUUCAAAAGGUAUGAAUACUGAGUAGUUGAUGAUGAAAUGGAAGACUGCCGUUGUUGUUGGUGUUGCUGUUGUCAUACUCUGUCCCUUCGGCUUAUUUCCUUGUUCUUCCUGUCCUACAAACUUCUUCGUUGAUAC